UUACAUAAAAAACGUGGAUUGUGAAGAUUGUGAUCCUGCUGGGACACUUCUUUACAACUCAACUCGCCUCUGCCCUCUUUCUCUGACAUAUUACGGCUUCUGUUUAUUUAAAGGAAAUUACACUGUGAAACUUUACUUCGCUGAAACUGUUUACCAAGGUGAUGAAGAUUACUCGAAUUUAGGGAAACGUGUUUUUGAUGUAUAUAUACAGGUAACCGCUAUAUCUUUCUGCAGCUCCUUUCAAUAAUUUCCACCAUUCAACAUCCAUUUUUGAUACAGGGGAAGAGAGAACUAAAAGACUUCAACAUAAAAGAAAUGGCCAACGGCACCAAUAAGACAUGGAAUGCAAGUUUCACAGCAUAUGUAGGAGAUGAUCAUCUAUUGAAUAUCCAUUUUUUCUGGGCUGGAAAAGGAUCUUUUCAGGCGCCAGGUUUUUCCUAUUCAAGUACUGCUGCCCUGUCUCUGAAUGGACCCCUUGUGGCAGGCAUUUCCGUAACUGCAAGUAAAGAGUUGCAUUUCUUUUAUUUUUGUUGAGCAAAGAUUUCUAUUACACUUUAUCUGGAUAAAUAAUUUUUUCUUGUUGUCUUGCACUAUGUGUAUCCAGACUUCAAAGUUGGUGGCAAGGGACUAUCUCCUUCACAAAUUGCGGGGAUUACUGCAGGUUCAGUAUUUGCUCCUCUACUUCUGUUGGCUUUCAUGUGGAAAAUGGGCUGGCUGCGGAAAAGCGAGUUGGAUGGUACCUCUCCAUGCUAAUCUAAAAUCAUUAUGCAGCACACUACCUUAAGUAUUCUUACUUUGAUGUUUUCUUCAAAUAGAAAUAACCAUUGAGGUCCAAGGAAAAUCUUUCACCCUCAAACAAAUAAUCGAUGCUACUCGAAAAUUCAGCCCCAAAAUGGAGAUUGGCAGGGGACGCUUUGGAAUAGUAUACAAGGUCAGAUUUUCUUUUCUGAAACAUUUGUUCUUCGACAUGCACUUUUUUCUCUCAAAGUUCUGGUAAAUUUAUUUCACGUGUAUACAGGCUGAAUUGCCGAACGAGAUAAAAUUAGCAGUGAAGAAGAUUUCUCCUCAUUCAAAGCAACAAGGAAAAGAUGAAUUACAAAGGGAAAUCUUCAACAUGAAAUCUUUGCAUCAUGAGAAUCUUGUUCAAUUGUUGGAUGGCUAUUCUAUUAAAGACCUGCAUCUGCUAGUAUAUGACUAUAUGCAUAAAGGCUCCCUUCACCAUGCGUUGUUCGGUAAUACUGCCAUCACCCGAUUUUCAUCCUGCUCUUUCACCUAAUGCAUUGCCUUGUGAAACUCAUUUAAUUGUAUAUUUAAAACUUCUGUUAGUACAAGGAUAGUGUACUUGCACAUAUCAGUAACUUAAUAUCAAUAACCUUGAUUUGUAGAACCAAAUUCCACGACAAAACUUGAUUGGAAAGCUAGAUUUGGUAUCUGUCUGGGAAUAGCGAGAGGUUUGAAGUAUUUACAUGAAGAGAAAAGGUUCAAGAUUGUUCAUGGAAACAUAAAACCUAGUAAUAUUUUGCUUGAUAACUCUCUUACGGCCAAGUUGUCUGACUUUGGAUUGGCAACGCUUUGUGAUGAGGAAGAUCCAUUUAUGACCAUCAAAGCAAAAGGGUCGCGGUAAGUAUAUAUUAUGAUCAUUGAUUGACAACUACUUCCAUUCUUUUAAUUAAGAGCUAAUUAACCAAUAAUUAAUCUCUUAUUGCAGAGUUUACAUGGCACCUGAGUAUUCAAUGGGAAAAGCAAUAACUGUUAAAGCUGAUGUUUACAGUUUCGGAAUUGUCCUACUCGAAAUAGUUAGCGGGAAAGUUAGUGCAGAUUACACACCAAACCAAGAAGCUGAGUUUCUUCUGGAUAAUGUAAGUGGAUGUGACAGGGAUAAACACUUUGUUUUAUUUUUUUUCAUAGUUAUAUACUAUCAAACCAAACAUGUUCUGUCAACAUCAAAUAACUUAAUAUAUGUGUUACGUUCAACUCAUGAAAAUACAAAAGCUAAUAUUUAUAGAUCACUCUAAUACUAAGAAGAAAUUUAGAACAAAAAAAGAUAUUAUUAUUCAACAAUUUGAUAUAUGUGUUAUAUUCAACCUAUAUGAAGUUUAUAUAAUUAUAUAACAAGACACAUAAGUAAAUAAAAUAAAAUAAAUUAUAGAAAAUAUAGUUGAUUGCAUCCUUUAAUUGGAUGAUUGAAAUAAUUUCUUGAUUACCUAGAAUUAUUUAAUUCCUUGAUUUUUUUUUUAUUGAAUAGAAAAUAAUCAGGAUUAUUUACUUGAUUAUUUCCUUAAUACUCGGAGCUAAGCCAAUCUUGCUUUGUAAUUGCAGGCUGGUGUUUUGUACGAUAAGGGAAGAAUCCUUGACUUGGUGGACAAGAAAUUAACAUCCAGUUACGACAGGAAGCAGGCUCUCACUGUUUUGCUAUUAGCAAUGAAGUGCGUUAAUCUGUCUCCUACUCUCAGGCCUAAAAUAUCUGAAGUCGUCAGUGUACUUGAAGGUGAGAAAAGAAUCGAUGAGAUUUCCAAAGGCGAUGAUACUCCAUCAGCAAGUAUUGGAGGACUGUGCGGUGCGUGUUCCAGGGUGUUGGAAAUAGAGCCAAUUUCUUAGCUAAUUGGUAAUGUUAAGUUUGGUGAUGAAAACCUUCUGCCUCUUUUUUAUUUUGUAAUUGCUUGGGUCUAAUUAUGUGGUUGUGUCAAGAGAACAUUGAUGUGUGCGUGAGAGACUCCAUGAGAAAAUAUGUGUGUUUGCUUUGUCUGCUAUGAUUUAUUUGUGCUGUUAUGGCUGCUGGUAAUAUCGUGAAUUGAAUAAUAUUAUUAUUUGCCAUCCUUUAUAUAUAGCCUGUAUAAAGAUAAUUUUAUGAUAUUAUCUACUUUACAAACUCAUUAGAUUUAUGCAACUACAAUUUUAAUAUUAAAUAUUGGAUCACAUUUUUAUAUAGGAUAUGGAUCCAAAAUAAUUCCGUAAGGAUUAAUAAAUCUAACAUAGCUGUAAAACUGGAUAUAAAGUUGAUCAAGAUAAAAUACAGGUUAUGAGUUAAAAAGAUCAUCCUGAGUCAAUUCUCAAAUGUUUUUUUUAAUACAAUAAAAACAAUAUUUUUUUAUAAAAAACAAUUCUAGAAAUUGAGAGCCGGGUGUUGAUCGAUCAGUAGAUUAACUUCAAUUUUUUUAUCAAAUCAACUAAAUUAUUUAUUUAUUUAUUUUAAACCGCUCCAAAUUCUAAAUUAAUUAUAUUUCAAAUCAACCCAGGCUAAAUCCAAGUAAUAUUGUACUGUCUAUUUAUAAAAACCUCUUAAACUUAGACCAGUUAGAUACAUAGGUAGAUAUAAAAGGUAUACCUUACUUUUUUGUAUAACGAAAAUAAAUAUAAAUAAAUUUACAAUACAUAAACAUUAAACAUCUAAAGAUACUUUUUUGGUAUAAAUAUUGCAUCAAUGUCGAAGCUAAAUGAUUGUCUUAGGAUACUUUUAUGAAUAAGGCUAAUUACAAAUAAAUUUGCCAAUGAUUGUUUCCAAACCUAAGAAGUUUGAAUGGAAUAAGUCCUUUUUAUUAGCAAUCUAAAGCAGGAUUGCUAAGACAGGCUUUCGAGCAGGCAGGACAAAUGCCGAUUCUGCCUAUGCCAACUUCCUGUUUCUAGCAAUGAUUCUCUCCAUCAACAUCCAAGGUUUGUCUUAGCAAGAUCCGGCGAAGCCGGUGAAGAGCUUAGGUAUAGAAAGGGACAAAACAAAGAUGGUUAGCUUGAAUUUCAGGAGAAUACUAGAAAGAAAAUAUUAAGAAAUAAGAUUUUGAAUUGAGAGUUUUUUAUAUUAAUCCUAUUUAAUAGAAUUUUAUUUUGCUUAUAAUUGUUGUUAAUGUUAUGCUGUUUCUAUCUACAUCAUAAUUAUGCUUUCUAGCGAUCAUUUAUGCUUUCUAGCUAUCAUUGUAUCUAUUUUCUUAUAUUUAUAUUUUUGUUUUUGCUAUUCUUUGAUGAUUUAACUUAAAAUUAGAGAUUUAUUUUAUUCUUUAAAUAUGUUAAUUUUGUAUUUAUGAGAUUUUUAAAUCAACAUGUCAAAAUUACAUUUAUUAUCAAUUUCACAAACUAAUUUUAGUGGACUUGUCUCAACAUCUCCUGCCGAAUGAUAAAUUAUUAGAACUGUAUAAUGUAUUUAAAGAUAAGAUUGAUCAAAUUAAAGAUGCAAGGAAAAAUUAGAGAAACAUUAUAGGGACAAAUUUAGCUAUCAACAAUAUAUUUUUUAAAAAAUAUAUCUUAUCCCAGUAUGAAUUGAUUAUCUUUGAUAUGUAAAUUGUAAAUAAAUCUUACAAUAAAAAUUUUCAUCCUUUUUUUUCUAUCAAUUUCAUUUUUUUUUAAUUUUAUCUUCAAACUUUUUUACUAGUCACGAUUAGGUUAUAUUUAAACCAAUUAAAUUGACUAAGUCAUGUUGGAAAAACUCUCACACUGUUUAAAAUUAAUUGAGAGGGUUUAAAAUUGAUCUACUAGCCUAGAUUUAAUAAUAAUAUCAAAUAAUUAUCUACUAUCUAAAUAUUUUUUGUUAAGUUCAAAAUCUAAAUUGAAAGAGAAAGGAACAAAAUGUGAAAAACAAAGAAACUUCAUGAUUAGUCUUAAAUUUGCAAAGUGCUUUUAGUUAUCUUGAUUGUACUUUCUCCUAUAAUAUAGCCCAUAUCCCAUAUGUUUUCUGGAUAUUUAAUUUUUAUCUAAAAAUUUAUUUUGUUCUUGAUUUUAAAGAAUAUUUAUAUUUGGAUCAUGUUUUAGUAAUAAAAAAAUAAAAUAUUUUUAUUUGAAUCAUAUUUUAAAUUAAAAUUUAAACACUCAUAUCAGGCCUUAUUUUUAUCAUUCAUCAUCAAAACUAAAAAAUAAUGCAGCAUAUCGGCCAUUUUUAAUUAAAUAAUAGAAUGUAUAUUUAAAUCCGUUUUUAUUACUUUUUAUUGCACAUUGCUUUAAAUAGGCAUCUAUAUUAAUAACGCCUUAAGUUUUUUUUUACACAUUAAUUUGAAAUCAUUGAUUAGUUUUUUUUUAAUUAAAAAAUUAUUUUAAGAGAAACCUCUAUUGGAAAAACACUUUUGCUGUGUUAUUUUUAGAAAAAGAAAAACCAAAAAACAAUUCUCUUUAUGCUACUUUCCAAAAUUGUUUUCAACCAAUAUGGCCCCCAUGUCGGUGCUCCAGACAAAAAAUUCGCACUGCGUCAAAAUCAAAUCCCCCUAUAAAUACCACACCACAGUAAAUCACUCUCCCUCAUCCGCUCUCCACAAUCCCUCGAACCCCUGAAACAGGCAAAACUGUUACCGUGAAACGACACGCACUCACCCUCUCGCUUCUCUCCACGGCCAUAACCGUCGUGGUAAUCGAUGCGGUGGUCCCCGGCCGAUGGACCCCGAGAAGAGACCUGGGGAACGUGGUUCCCGGCGUAUGGACCCCAAUAACAUGUCCAAAUUUCGUUUUUUAGGUUGUUAAUCCUUAUCCAGAAGAAAUAAUUACAUUAAUUUGGCUCUUUAAAAAAAGCGAUUGUUUUCAUUUGGUAUAUUAAUUUGGCUCUUUAGAAAAGUGAUCGUUGUUCUGGAUAGAAAGUUAGAUUCAACGACCCAGAAGAAGGAGAAGAAGAAGCAGAAGGAAUAUGGCUUGUAUUUUUGUUACUGAUAGUUUUCCAUGCACUUGGUUUUGCUAGGCAAAUAGGAGUAAUCUACAGGUUGAGUUAUGUUAUUACUUUUUCCAGAGAAAAAUGAAUAUCAUUAUUUUUUUUCCGACAGUGUGUAGAUGUAGAAUGAUUGAAGUUAUCGAUUUGAAAUAAAAAACUAACUCGAAAAAUAUUUUAAAUUCUCAAAUUAAUUUGUGAGAUAUCCCCGUUAAUUUGAGUUAUUUUGGUUAAAAUAAUAUAAUUUUGUUUUUGUUACAGAAAAUCCUUUAAAUUGACCUGAUUUAGUUUAAUUGAAUUAAUAAAAUCAUUAAAACUCUAGACUGAAUUAAUAUUUUUUUAGUUCAACACCUCGGGUAAAAUUUUAGAUUAUAUAUAAUUUUUUCUAAAUUAAUUAUCGAAUUAAGUAUUCAAUGUUUGUUUAUUUAGUAAUUUAUGGAAUGUAUAUAUAUAUAUAUAUAUAUAUAUAUAUAUAUAGAGAGAGAGAGAGAGAGAGAGAGAUUAUAAAAAGAUACUAGCUAUUCAUUUGUGCUCUGGUAAAUUUUUUUUUAUUUUUUAUAAAAACUUAUUUAUAUAUGUUUUUUCAAUGUAUUUUGAUUGUUCAAAAAUUAUAACAAAUCAAAAAAUUUAUGCACAUAUAUAAUAACAUAACUAAGAAGUAUGUGCAUUAAUAAAUCAAUAAAAAAAUAUUAAUGACAUCUAAAAAUAAAAUUUGAGAAAUCAAUAGAUAAAUAUAAAUUAAAAUAUUGAAUCUUGAAAAAUUGAAUUUUUAAAACAUAAAAACAAACAUGCUUUGAUAAAAAAAUUCAACUCAACCUCAAAUAAAAAAAAAUAUUUUUUUAUAUAAUAUAAAAAAAAUUUAAUUAAUUUUUUUUAUUAUAUAAAAAAAAUAUUAAAGUAUUGGAUUUUGCUUGGGCUUGUAACUAGUAACCUGAAACAUUUCAGAAACUGAAUAAGUUGUAUGGCUUGUAAACCAUUGUUGCUAAUGGGUUGAAGUUUCCUGCUUAGAUUUUUAACAAACAACAUGUUUAAUGGGCUUCCUACCUGGAUGAAUAACUCGAUGACACAUAUCUAUUCUACAGCGUAAGACACUAGAUUAACAUCUAAUUAAUACAAGCUUAUCUACAACUGUCUACAUAAUUUCUUUUUUAAUUACUUCAUUGCCUAGGUCGGAGAUAGAGUAUAAUUAUGUCAUUGAAAUAGUAUAAAACUAUUAUUGGGAAUUUAUCAAACAAUUUAACCUUUUGGACACUCUUCAAUAUUAGAUAAGGUAUGACGAUUUAGGGAUACAAAUUAUCAUGAUUUAGUGUGUUCUUCAGCUUUUUUUUUUCUUAGUUCAUUACAUCCCUUGAUUAAGCAUACAACAAACCAUAGUUAAUGUAUAACACGGUUUAUAAUCUUGUGGCACCUACUGUACGUAUGAAAGCUUAGUCAAUUAUGUACGUAUAUAUGCAGGUAUGUAUGAAAGCUUAGCCACUUAUUUAAUUUGUAAAGAUUUUUUAAAUUAUGAUGUUAUACAAACAUAGCCUAAAGGUUAAGUAUCAAAAAUAUGUAUAUUAAAAAAAAAUCAUGUUUAAUUAAUAAAAUAUUAUUAGAAUCUUGUUUUAAUUACAAGUUAUAUUUUAUCAAUGUGGAUUAAAGAUGAUAAAAUUUAUAAUACUUUAAAAUAAAUAAAAAUAAAGAUAAAUUUUAAUAUAAAUCAAAGUGAAUAAACCUUUCUAAAUUGUUGGACUAAUCUAAAUAUGAUUUUAACAUUUAAAAAAACAUUAUUUAUGCACCACUAAGCAGUAACUAAUCAAAUUAAAAUAAUUAAUUCAUGAUUAUAGAAAAAAUUAAAACACAAUAGUGAAAUUAAUCUUAAACUUACACGUUAUCAAUUAUUUAAAAAUUAUGAAAAUUAUGAAAAUCUUCUGAUUGAGGCAGCACACCACCUGAUAAUUGUCUCCAACCCUUGCCAGAUCUGAAUUUUCCAACCCGAUGCUGCCGUCCCCAAAAGUCCUUGUGGCUGAUUGAAACACACCUGCUCUAUCCUUAUCAUCUGCAACGUCUUCUUCUUCUUCUUCCCCACCACCAUAGGUGUCCACGUCAUCGGCCAAAUCAAUCGAGUCUUGCUCAUCAUCCAUGGUGUAUGAAACAAAAGAUGCUGAAUUACAUGAACAAAGACUUGCCAUAAAUCUUAAAGAUGCAUUAUUACUUCUCAAUGCUACAUGUAGGGCAAGGGCGGAGCCAAGAAUUUUUACUAUUCUAGGCUAUGAUAUAAAUACAUAUAAUUUAUUUUUUAAAAUCAAUUAUUCACUCGAAUAUAUAAAUUUGCUAGAUUAACAAUAAAGUUUUAAUUCAAAUACAUAACACAAAAUAUAUAAAACAUAAAAUUUAAAGCAUUUAAAAUUCAAAAUAAAAAUAAAUCAUACCAUCAAAGUUGCACCUUUCGAUGUUUUGUAGAAUAUAAUUCAUCUAUGAUCGAAUCCGAAUCAAUAUCUUCAACAAGCUCUCAUUCAAUGUAAAUCAUCAAAGAAUCUACUAAGAACUCCUCUUUUAUUUUAUUACUAAGCAUAAUUUUAACAUGUUCCACUAUCCCAUUACUGAAUCUAAAAUUUAAUUCUUUCAAUUAAAAAUCUAUUGUUGAGUUAAAUAUAUUAUAAUGAUAACGUUGGUUAACAGUCAUUGAACCUUGUUAUUGAUAUGAAUGAUAUGUAACCUUUUUAUACGAAACAUUCAUAUGUGGAACACAAUUAAUCGCAAUUAUUAUUAUUUUUAACCCAAAUUUUUCAUGCUUCAACCCUCUUUGGUGAUAUAUAGUUAGUUUAUUUUUGGGUUUCAAAAAUAUUUUUUUUUUUAAAUAAAUUUAGUUUUUGCUUCAAAUUAAUUUUUUAGUGUUUUCAGAUUGUUUUGAUGUGCUGAUAUCAAAACUGAUUUUUUUUUUAAUUUUUUUGAUAUAUUUUUAAAUAAAAAAUAUUUUAAAAAGUAAUCACUACCACAAACACCAUUAAUGAAACAAAACAUAUUUUACAAUUAAUUAAGUAUAAAAAUAAUUAUUUUCCACAUGUUGCAAUUAUAUUAGUGUGUCCUUACUUUUGUCUAUACUCCUUUUCUUUAUAUAAUUUUGUGUUUAGAAAGCCUCACAAAUCAUAAAGGUUUAAUUGUUCAAACGUAUACUCCUUUUAUUUAUUUAUUGGGCAAAACAUUAUUUGUUACCUAGGCUACAGUCCACCUGAGCCUUGUACAAGGCUCCGCCCUUGAUGUAGGGUAUGCUGUGAUGCUUAAGCUUUAGUAAAUGCAAAAGAUAAACACAAUAUACUAAACAAAGACUUACCAUAAAUCUUAAAGAUCCCAAGGUUCAAUCAUAGAAGGCAUAUCACCUUUAUUACUUCCCACGGUUCACAUGCCGUGGGUCCAAUCAUUGAUGCUGAACACGGACACAGAUAAACAAAAGACUUGACCAUAAAUUUUAAAAAUGCAUUUUUACUUUUUCCAUCCGUUCAAUCAUUUACAUUAUUAUUUUUCUGACAACGUCACAAAAUCAAUUCAUUUCAUGAUGGCGUGGCCUUUUUUUCUUCGUGAGAGAAAGAGAGAUGAAAGGGAGGGGUCUGUCGUGUUUUUUGUUUUUAUUUUUUUGUUGCUUGAUAGAGAGAAAAGGAUGGCUAGUUAUGGGGGUUUGAAUGUUUUACAGUAGUGGAGGGCAUAAUUUUUUUAAGGGAAUUUGGGUUUUCUUUUUUCUUUAGUGGUGACAGUGGGAGCUUGAAGAUUAUGAGUUGUUCUUGUUGUUUUUAUUUAAAAGUGUGUGUACUGGAUGGUGUGAGGGUCAUGAGUGUUUUACUCUUUUUAUUAUUAUUAUUAUUAUUGAAAUACCAAAUGAAAUAUAAUAGAAUAACCUUAAUGAAAAAUCACCUAUUGAAAUGAGAGAUAUAAUCAUUUCUUUAAGAAUUUAAAAAAUAUUUAAUUAUUAAAAGUGCUCAUGAAUUCUAGAGUUGUUUAGGAUAAAAAUAAAUAAAAUUAUGAGAAUCAAAUAAAAUCUUUAUAUAGAAAACUAUAUAAAUAUUAUUGUCUUUGAUUGCAUUAAAAGCUAAAUAGUUAAAGACAAUAUAUUUACUAAUUAAUCGAGUAAAUCUGAUAGUAUUUUAUUAAGAAGAUUCAAGCUAAAUAAUUAUUUUUCCAUGAAUUUUCAAGUUUUUAUAUACCGAUUUUAUUCUUGUGAGAUGUUAUCAUAAAUUUGUUUUAAAUGAUUAGUAAGUAUAUUUGAGGAUACGAGAUCCACUCUUAUUUAGUGUUCAAGUUUUAUUUAUAAUUAUUUUUUAACAAAGAUCUUUAAGAUAAAACAUUAAUGUGAUAAAAAUAAAUGAUAAAUUGAUAUAAAAAACCUUGUUUUUGUUUUUUGUUACCGUCCUACUGAUGAAGUCAAAUGCGAUUGCACUUGUGAGAACAACACAGUAUGUCACGUCACCAGCCUGUAAGUUCCUCAUCAACCUCAUCCAAUUUUCUUUUAUUUUUGUAAGGCAAUGCGUCCUCUCUAAAAACUCACUGGUUUCUAUGUUGACGCCUUUUUUGGGUGGUAGAGAACUCUCAAACCGCGAAUUAGACGGACAAAUCCCCGCUGAAGCCAUAUGACAUGUGAUGAUGAUAAUUCGUAGCAAUUAUGCUGACCUCAACUAAUGUAUAACAAGCAACUUUAUGGCAGCAUCCCUGACGUCACCAUGGGGAGCUUGCCUUCACUCUACUCUCUGUAAGGGAUCCAGUACCAUGGUUAUUUACUACUGCUGCUGUUUAUUUUGUUGCAGUCAUUUGUCCAAACAUAUUCUUUAUUUUAAAUAUACUACAAUUUUUAAAAUAAAACUAACAAAAAUAAGAUAUUCUAUGUAACUCGAUUCAAGAAUCCCUAUGAUUGAUACAUUUAGCUUCUGCCUCGGAUAUUCGGUCUUUGGGCUGUAGUUAUUUAGCUUCGACAAUAUAUAUAUAUAUAUAUAUAUAUAUAUAUAUAUAUAUAUAUAUAUCUUUGGGGAUGCAAUUAUUGAGUCCCAGAUGCAUAGCUACUUGAGUUGUCAGCUAGCGUGCAUCGUCAGAAUAUAUAUUUACAAAUCUAACAUUUUGCUUUCCUGAAAUCACAUUUUUUAAAUUAUAUUCCAUUAAAUAAUUGGCCCCUACUGGUAGGCCUAGAUAUUCCAUUAAAUAAUUUUGUUUUCCUAAAAGCACAUCAUUUUUGGUUUUAUCCAGCGCUGGUUUCCAUGUCGUAAGGAGUCUUGAAGUGGCCCCUACUGGUAGGCCUGGAUAUUUCAUAGGUAGGAUUGACAUCUCAGAACAGCAGCCAUUCCUUUACUGAAUUCCAGAUCAGCUAGGGGUCUUCUGUGAAGCAAACUUUCUGACAGGAGCACAAAUCAAACCACCUAAGGAUUCUUUUAAUAUUCGACAAGCUGUCCCCAUGCCCACAACUAAACGAUAUCGCGUCACUUAGCUUACCUAAGCAUGCUGAUGUCUUGCAAAUAGUUUACCUCUAUUGAAAAGGACAUCUCAGUGAUAUGUCAUUUAGUUUCUGGUAAUUAAGGAAAUUCUAAUUAGCUUUCCAGAUAUUAUUAUUAAGGGUAUUGUAUAAUAAAAAAAAUAAAAUUACUAUAUACUUCCUAUUUUAAUGUAAAUUGCUUUGUUACUUGUUUUAAAAAUUUAAAAUAUUUAUUAUGCUAAGAGAUUGUCUAAAGUGAUAUGUUUUUAUUUUAAAACUAAACUAAGAGAGUGAUUUAAAAAUGACCUAAUCCCUAAUGUUAUAAUAUAGAUCGAAAUGAAUAUGAAAAAUAAGUCUACAUAGAAUUUAUCUCAAAUUCACUUAUUGUAUCAAGAAAAUAUAUCUUAAAACAAGUAAACAAUCAUUCACACGUUCAAAUUAGACAUAGAAAAUUCAAAUGAUGAAUAAAUAUUUAUAAAUAAUAAUUAUAAUUAAAAAAAUAAUAUUAAUGUUUUAAAAUAUUUACAUUUAUAAUUAAAAACAAUGUUGUCGUGAUUUUCCUGGUUAGAUUAUGAUUGACUAGAUAACUAGAAUAGUAUUCUGAAAAGGUAUUGAUGAGAGAAUUUCUAAGCUCACAAAUCCAGCUUAUAACACAAUAUGAAAAUAUUUCUCAAAAAAACACAAUAUAAAAAUAACAUUUUGCAUAUAAAAAAUAAGCAUUAAUCGACUCAACUAUCCUUAAUGCAACAUUCAAGGGAAAGCACAAAAUUAAAGUCUUACAAUCCUUAGGUCAAUUUUGUAUAAACAACCAAAAAAUACAAGACACAAUUAAAAGUAAAUCUCGUUCUUUGAGAAAUGGUGCCAUCAAAAUUAAAUUGCAUGAAUAUGAAAAAUUAAGUUUAUGUGAUAAGCAACAUCCAAUUAAUAAAACCCAACAAAUAAUCUUUUCAUUCUAGGUUGAUAUACGAAUGAAAAGACAAUUUAUAACAACAUAACAAACCACAAAUAUAAAAAUUACUCAUAACAAAAGAUGUGUAUAGUUGAGAAUAAUUAGAAGGCUUAACCUAUUGAUUUGCAACCUUUUCUAUUUAUAUAUGUAGGGCAAAAUACAAUAGUAAUGAUGGUGAUUACAACACAAGAGUAUAACUAUAAUAUUUUCUAUAUAAAUACAUUCUAUAAUAUGCCCUCUUAAGUUUUAAAGAUUUUUUAAAUUAUGAUGUUAUACAAACAUAGCCUAAAGGUUAAGUAUCAAAAAUAUGUAUAUUAAAAAAAAUCAUGUUUAAUUAAUACAAUAUUAUUAGAAUCUUGUUUUAAUUACAAGUUAUAUUUUCUCAAUGUGGAUUAAAGAUGAUAAAAUUUAUAAUACUUUAAAAUAAAAUAAAAAAUGAAAUUAAUCUUAGUAAAUCAAAGUGAAAAAACCUUUCUAAAUCAUUGGACUAAUCUAAAUAUGAUUUUAGCAUUUAAAAAAACAUUAUUUAUGCACCACUAACUAGUAACUAAUCAAAUUAAAAUAAUUAAUUCAUGAUUAUAAAAAAAAUUAAAACACAAUAGUGAAAUUAAUCUUAAACUUACACGUUAUCAAUUAUUAAAAAAUUAUGAAAAUCUUCUGAUUGAGGCAGCCCACCACCUGAUAAUUGUCUCCACCCUUUGCCAGAUCUGAUUUUUCCAACCCGAUGCUGCCGUCCCCAAAAGUCCUUGUGACUGAUACACGCCUGCUCUAUCCUUAUCAUCUGCAACGUCUUCUUCUUCUUCCCCGCCACCAUAGGUGUCCACGUCAUCGGCCAAAUCAAUCGAGUCUUGCUCAUCAUCCGUGGUGUAUGAAACAAAAGAUGCUGAAUUACAUGAACAAAGACUUGAGCAUAAAUCUUAAAGAUGCAUUAUUACUUCUCAAUGUUACAUGUAGGGUAUGCUGUCAGCUUUUGGCCUUGAUCAUACGUACUGAUGCUUUAGCUUUAUUAAAUGCAAAAGAUAAACACAAUAUACUGAAAUUAUUGCUGCCAAACCGGCGUUUUGACAAAAUUCAAAAUUUUUUUUUUUUUUUUUUUGCUAAAAUUAAGUUAUGGUUGUACUUUUUGGAUCGUUUUGAUGUGCUGAUAUCAAAAAUGAUUUUUAAAAAAUGAAAAAACAUCAUUUGCAUGUAUUUCGGCACGAAAAGCUAUUUAAAAAGCAACCACUACCACACUACCAAACACGCUCUGACCAUAAAUCUUAAAGAUCCCAAGGUUCAAUCAUAGAAGGCAUAUCACCUUUAUUACUUCCCACGGUUCACAUGCCGUGGGUCCAAUCAUUGAUGCUGAACACGGACAAAGAUAAACAAAAGACUUGACCAUAAAUUUUAAAAAUGCAUUUUUACUUUUCCAUGGGUUCAAUCAUUUUACAUUAUUAUUUUUCUGACAACGUCACAAAAGCAAUUCAUUUCAUGGUGUGUCAAAUCAUUUAGCAGAGCCAUUAGCUGGGCAUAGAAAAGUUUUUAAUAUAAAAUCCUCAUUUAAAUUUUAAGUUGGCUAGUAAAAUCAUAUGAAUCUAAUAUAUAAAAUAAAAUUAAAAUUAAAAUUAAAAACUAAAAAAUUAGUAAAAUUAGUUAAACUUGAUGGAAUUUGAUAAAAUUAAUAAACUCUAAUGGAUUUUAUGAGUUUAAAAAAAUAUAAAAUUAUAUUGGUUUAGUUGGGAUAUUUGAGUGGAGGAGAGCUUUGUGUAUAAGUGUGUUGAUGUAGAGAGAUAAAAGGGAGGGGUCUUUCGUGUUUUUUUUUUUUUGUUUCUUUGUUGCUUGAUAGAGAGAAAAUGAUGGCUAGUUAUGGAGGUUUGAAUGUUUUAGACUGUGUUUGGUAUUGCGGUAGCUGUUGUGGUUAUGGUUUGAAAAAAAUUGUUUUAUAAAAAGUGCUUUUUGUUGAGGUUGAUUUGAAAAAAUAGAUGUUUGGUUAAAACUAUGGUUGGAAUUGAGGUUGAAUUAAAAGUAGUUUAAUGUGUUUGGUUAAGGGUGUGUUUGGUAUUGUGGUUGCUGUUGUGGUUGUGGUUUUAAAAAAGUUGUUUUAUAAAAAGUACUUUUAGUUGAGGUUGGUUUGAAAAAAUAUAUGUUUGGUUAAAACUGUGGUUGAAAUUGAGGUUGAACAAAAAGUAGUUUAAUGUGUUUGGUUAAAAAAAUGCUUUUCAAAUUGAGGUUAUAAAAUAAUUAAAAAAUACUUUUAAUUUAAAUAUUGUAGAUUUAACUACCAUUAUUACAUCAUGAAAUAAAUAACUAUAUUUUUCAUGAUUUCUUAAGCACACAACAAUAAAAACUGAAUUUUUUGUUACUUCAUCAAGUGAUCUCCUUCUAAUUUUUUGAAUAAAACAGAAUUAAAAUAAAAAUAAAAACUGAAUUUUUUUUAACUGGGUCUGACACGGCAAUAACAUAAUUGGAAUUGCGAUCAAAUUCCACAAAUGCUACGUCAUCAUGCUAUAUCCUUCUAAUUUAUGUAGUAUUAUUAAAUAAUAGUUUUUCAACUAAAACUCAAUUUUUUUAAAAAAAAUUACAAUUUCAUUACGUACAAAAUUUAUUCGACAAAAACUACAGUUUUCAUGAUUUUUUGAGCAUGCAAUAAAAUUAGGUAAAAUAUUAUCAGGAAUAAAAUUGAGAUUACAGUAUAAGUAAAUUUAAUUCACCUUAAACUAAUUUUUUUUAAAAAAAAAAAAUAGUGUUCACGUUUACAUGAAUAGUGCGAGUGAAAUCACUGAUUUUUUUUAAUUGCACUGAUUUUUCAGAAGAAAAAAAUAAACUUUUCUUGGUUUUUCGAAAUUAAAAAAAAAAAAUUAAAACUCUGAUUUAAGUUUAGGGAACAGUGCGAGUGAAUUAAAAUUCACUCGCACUGUACAUUGUAAACCUUUCUUGGUUUUUUGAAAAAAAAAAAAAAAAAACCUCUGAUUUAAGUUUAGGGAACAAUGGAGCCAUGCUCCACUAUUCCAGCGUUUUUCCUUCAGGAGAUGCAACAUUUUGCUGCUUCUCCCAAACCGCCGUUUCAAUUUAAAAUUGAGUGGGCCCUACCAGUUAAAAGGAGGUUUUAUUUCGUUGCCAAACAAAAAUUUGAGUGGCUGUGGGUGAACCUCACCCGCAGCCACGUUACCAAACGACACCUAAGAAUGCUUUUGAAAUUGAGGUUAUAAAAUAAUUUUAAAAAUAUAUAUAUUAAUAUUGAUGAUUUUUAAUUUAAAUAUUAUGGAUUUAAUAUUGCUAUUACAUCAUAAAAUAAAUCAUUCUAUUACGUAAGAAAUACAUCCGACAAGAACUACAAUUUCUAUAAUUUUUUAGUGUGUUAUAAAAUUAGAUAAAAUAUUAUUAUGUAUAAAAUUCAUUUUAAACUAGUUUUUUUUAAAAAAAAAUUUUAAAAAAAUUAACACACUAAAAAAAAGAAAGAAAGAAAGUUGCUCACGCAGUGCAAGAGAAUUGCAUUGUUCACUAUUUUUAAGUGAACAAUGCAAUUCUCUUGCAUUGUUCAUAUUAAUUGCACUGUUCAUUGAACAGUGCAAUUAACGUGAACAGUAACAAAACAACGAAUUCUUGCUUUUCAAAUGUUGUGUUUCCAACGCAAAAAAAGGUGGGCCCUAGUGAACAGUAUACCUCAUUUUUCUUUAACCAAACGGCUACAGCUGUGUUUUCAAUAAAACACAGCCGCAGUCGCAGAGCCAAACGGACUCUUACAGUAGUGGAGGGCAUACUUAUUUUAAGGGAAUUUGGGUUUUCUUUUUUCUUUAGUGGUUACAGUGGGAGCUUGAAGAUUAUGAGUUGGUCUUGUUGUUUUUAUUUAAAAGUGUGUGUACUGGAUGGUGUGAGGGUCAUGGUUUUUUACUCUCUGUUUUUAUUUAUUGAAAUACCAAAUAGAAUAUAAUAGAAUAAUCUUAAUGAAAGAUCACCUAUUUAAAUGAGAGAUAUGAUCAUUUCUUUAAGAAUUUCAAACAUAUUUAAUUAUCAAAAGUGCUCAUGAAUUCUUUAGUUAAUCUAUUUAGGCACUUGAGUGUAAAGAGGGUGUGGCCUUUUUGUCUUCGUGAGAGAAAGAGAGAUGAAAGGGAGGGGUCUGUCCAGGGGCGGAGCAAGAAAAAAUAAUUAGGAGGGGUCAAAUUAUAAAUUAGAGAGGCUAAGAAAAAAUUUCAGUUAUUUUUAUUAAAAUUAUAAAUAUUUAUAAGGGAGGGGUAUUUUCGUGUAGGGGUCGGUGCCCCUGCCAGCCCCCUUCCCUCUGCCACUGGGUUUAUCGUGUUUUUUUUUUUUUUUUGCUGCUGCUUGAUAGAGAGAAAAGGAUCAAUGGAUAGUUAUGGAGUUUUGAAUGUUUUACAGCAGUGGAGGGCAUAAUUUUUUUUAUGGGAAUUUGGGUUUUCUUUUUUCUUUAGUGGUGAAAGUGGGAGCUUGAAGAUGAUGAGUUGGUCUUGUUAUUUUUAUUUAAAUGUGGGUGUACUGGAGGGUGUGAUGGAUCAUGGUUUUUUUACUCUCUUUUUUGGUUUUUUAAGAUAGAAUGUUUAGUAUUUUUUUUAUGCUAAUCCUCUCUAACUAAUUUCUCCCUUGUUUUAUAGUGUGACCCCCAUUUAUACUAGUAAAAAAAGAAGAAGUUGUUUUUCACUCUUAGGUGAUAAUCUAUUCCAUAGAUUAUAAUUGAGAAAUCGAAAAAUAAAAAAAAAUAAAAAAUUGAGAAAAUAAAAAAUAAAUUAUAAUGAAUGAUAAAUAGAUAUAAAAAACCUUGUUUUUUUUUUUUUUUUUUUUACCGUCCUACCGAUGAAGUCAAAUGCAGUUGCACUUAUGAGAACAACACGUUUGUCACGUAAGUUCCUCAUCAACUUCAUCCAAUUCUCUUUUAUUUUUGCAAGGGAACGCGUCCUCUCUAAAACUCACUGGUUUCUAUGUUAACGCCUUUUUUGGGUGGUGGAGAACUCUCAAACCGCGAAUUGGACGGACAAAUCCACGCUGAAGCCAUAUGACAUGUGAUGAUGACAAUUCGAAGCAAUCAUGCUGACCUCAACUGAUGGAUAACAAUCAACUUUAUGGAAGCAUCCCCUGACGUCACCAUGGGGAGCUUGCCUUCACUCUACUCUCUGUAAGUGGUUAUUUACUACUUACAGAGAGUAGAGUACCAUGGUUAUUUACUACUGCUGCUGUUUAUUUUGUUGCAGUCAUUUGUCCAAACAUAUUCUUUAUUUUAAAUAUACUACAAUUUUUAAAAUAAAACUAACAAAAAUAAGAUAUUCUACGUAACUCGAUUCAAGAAUCCCUGUAAUUGAUACAUUUAGCUUCUGCCUCGGAUAUUCGGUUUUUGGGCUGUAGUUAUUUAGCUUCGACUAUAUAUAUAUAUAUUUGGGGAUGCAAUUAUUGAGUCCCAGAUGCAUAGCUACUUGAGUUGUCAGCUAGCGUGCAUCGUCAGAAUAUAUAUUUACAAAUCUAACAUUUUGUUUUCCUAAAAUCACAUCAUUUUUGGUUUUAUCCAGCGCUGGUUCACAUGCCGUGGGUCCAAUCAUUGAUGCUGAACACGGACAAAGAUAAACAAAAGACUUGACCAUACAUUUUAAAAAUGCAUUUUUACUUUUCCAUGGGUUCAAUCAUUUUACAUUAUUAUUUUUCUGACAACGUCACAAAAUCAAUUCAUUUCAUGAUGGUGUGUGUGGCCUUUUUUUCUUCGUGAGUUUUUAUUUUUUUGUCGCUGGAUAGAGAGAAAAGGAUGGCUAGUUAUGGAGGUUUGAACGUUUUACAGUUGUUGCUAUUCAAUUUUUAAUUUAUAUUUUUGAUAAAUUUUCAGAAAAAUCAAAAACAGUAAAAUAACAAAGAAAAACCUAAAAAAUAUAUUUUUGAUGUAUUUGCAUUGUUUUUUGUAUUUUCAACGUCAUCUCAAAAGAAUUUAAUUUUUCAAAGGUUUUGAACGCGUUUAACUUUUAACGCGUUAAUUUUACAAUCAUUGAUUUUUCUUGUUUAGUCGACGUUGAUAUUACUUGCUUUUAAAAAUAAAAAAAAAUAAAAAAAAUCAAAAUUUAAAAAAAAAGAAAAGAAAAGAAAAGAAAAGAAAGAACGGAAAUAUUGGGGACUAUUUUGAAAACUUAACAACAAUGAUCCUAUAAAUACUAAGCUACAGUGAUAAUAAAAUGGAGGAGAAAAUUUUUACACGGGAGAAAAAUUCACAGGCAUGGGGGAAGGAAAUUUUGGGGGGAAACAAAAAGAAAAAAAACUAAACCUAAAAAACCCAUCUGCAGCCGCCCCUUCUCCUUCGAAAAAAAAAACCGGCCCCCCUCCCCUUUGAUCUUCUUCUCCCAGCACCAAGCAGCUGCUGCCAUUCCCUUCCGUUGGCCAAAAACAGAGAGAGGAGAGAACCCCAUCCCCCAACGCCAGCUUCCUUCUCCGUUGGCCCGACUAAGGCUCCCUUUAUAUAAAAAAAACCCUUUUUCUCCCCGAGAGCCGCCCCAGACGAUUUUCUUCCUCAGCCACAGCGCUGACCUCUCUUUUUUGAAAAAAAAGGAGGAGCAGGCCGCCUCUCCCUUGGAAAAAGAAAGAACCCAGCGUCGCCUGCCUUCUUUUGAUUUUCCAGCUCCAUUUGGUCUCCCCUCUUUCCCUGUUGAACCGGCUGGCCCCUCUCCCUCACAAAACCCAGAAGAGCGUCAGCCGCCAGCUCUCCUGGCCAAGCUACAGCCGCCUCCCUCCCUUGAGAAAGAAAAUCUAGAGAAACCCCUGCUUUGGGGGGGCUUUUGAUUUCCAGCUUCUUCCUCCCUUCAGCCGGGUAAGUCCCCCUCGUCCUCUGUCAAAAACGAGCCUUCACCCGAACCCCAGAUCAGUCCUUCCCUCUCAACACAGAACAGCCUCGCCCUCAACAAACAGCCCCAUCUUCCUCGACCAGAGAACGGGCAGGGCCGUUCCCCGUCUCUUCAGACCCACGGUCUUCCUCACCGGCAGCAGCAGUCCUUCCUCCAGCGGUGCCUAUAGAAGCGGCCUCAUCUCCGACCGAGAAUCAAUGGCCGGAACUGCAACCAGAGAGAAGCAGAUCCGAAACGGAGAAAAAUGGAAAGAGGCGCAGAUCUGAAAAUAAAGGAAACAAAAUAAAACCGACUGCUUGUGGUUUUUUUUUUCGUUGCAGGUCACGGUGUAAGCCACCACGGGCUGGGAACAGAAGAGAAGGGGAAACCGUUCUAGAGCCCCCUGCUUGCUGGACUUUCCAGCGGCGGCGCGAGAACCCAAGCGCCGCCAGUUACGGUGGCGCGUGGGAGGACGCGCCGCCACGAUUACAGCUCCCACGCGCCGCCACGAUUACAGCAGAUCCCAGAAGGCUUUCCAACAGUUUCUGGAUUUUUUUUUGGGUUUAUUUUGUAAUUUUUAAAUUGUAUUUGAUAUUUUUGUUAUUUUUUUUGUACAUGUAAAAAGGGGAUGUAUAAGAAAAAUAAUAAAAAAAGAGAUGGGUGUGUGUGUGUUUGUAAUUUUUUCUUUUAUGUAUAUUUUUGAAUUAGAAAAUACAAAAAGAAAGAAAAAGUAAUUAGAUGUUUAAUUUGAAUAUGGUUAAAUAUCUUAAAGGACAAAUAAAAUCAUGUUGUAUUUUCCAUGAAAAUAUAAGAACAAGUUUCUAUAUAUAUUUCUGGGAUUUAAUAACUGAUUUAUUAAAGCCUUAGAAUUUGAUUAAUAUCUCAAAUUUUCAAAUCACAUCAAACCACGGAGCAGCUUACCUCGGGUAGGUAGCGCUGGGGGUGCUGAUACCUUCCCUAGCCACAACUAGUCUCUUACCCUCGAAUCUCUGAUUAUGACCAGUAAAUUCGGGUUUUCUAGUAACAUCUGACUAAAUAUUAGGUGGCGACUCUCAAGAUCCCAAAUCAAGCAAAGGAACAAAAAUCGCUUGAAUCGCCGCACGGGUGACGUGCGACAGUAGUAAUGGAGGGCAUAAUUUUUUUAAGGAAAUUUGGGUUUUCUGUUUUCUUUAGUAGUGACAGUGGGAGCUUGAAGAUUAUGAGUUCUUGUUGUGUUUUAUUUAAAAGUGUGUGUACUGGAUGGUGUGAGGGUCAUAAGUGUUUUACUCUUUUAUUAUUAUUAUUGAAAUACCAAAUGAAAUAUAAUAGAAUAAUCUUAAUGAAAGAUCACCUAUUUAAAUGAGAGAUAUAAUCAUUUCUUUAAGAAUUUAAAAAAUAUUUAAUUAUUAAAAGUGCUCAUGAAUUCUAGAGUUGUUUAGGGUCAAAAUAAACAAAACUAUGAGAAUCAAAUGAAAUCUUUAUAUAGAAAACUAUAUAAAUAUUAUUGUCUUUGAUUGCAUUAAAAGUUAAAUAGUUAAAGACAAUAUAUUCAUUAAUUAAUCGAGUAAAUCUAAUAGUAUUUUAUUAAGAAGGUUCAAGCUAAAUAAUUAUCUUUCCAUGAAUCUUUAAGUUUUUAUAUACCGAUUUUAUUCUUGUGAGAUGUUAUUAGAAAUUUGUUUUAAAUGAUUAGUAAGUAUAUUUGAGGAUACGAGAUCCACUCAUAUUUAGUGUUCAAGCUUUAUUUAUAAUUAUUUUUUAACAAAGAUCUUUAAGAUAAAACAUUAAUGUGAUAAAAAUAAAUGAUAAAUUGAUUAUGAGAGGGAAUAAAGCGAAUCUGAAUCUUUUCCUUUGCAACCCUAUCUCGUACAAAAUGAUAGUCAACCUCAACAUGUUUAGUACGAGUAUGAAAGAUAGGAUUUGCAGAUAAGAAAGUAGCGCCUAGAUUAUCAUAUCAAAGUUAAUAGGAUCUGCUAAUAUUAAAUACCCAAAAACAUAUUUUGUUUUCUUUAGUAUUUGGGAUUACAAAUUUAUAUGUAAAAUGUCUUCUCGAUAUUAAAAAUAUAGCUCUUUUUAUUAAUGUUAGAACGGUUAGGUUUUACACGAUAAGAUAAGAACAUUCUCAUUUAGGAAGGCUUUUUUCUAAAACCUUAGACAAACCAACAAAUAGAAACACAUAACAAUACUUUAGAUUUGAUCAAAUAAUUAAAUAAUGUAGAUUAUCCUAAAUAAAACAUAAUUGGAGUACUAAUAUCUUUUAUUUAUACAACUAGUUCCUGUAUUUGAUUUUCAAAACUAAUUGGAGUUUUUAAUGAUUAAAAUAUAAAGUGAUGACUUCCAUUCUAUCUAUACCUCGAUAAAAGAUAAGGAAUUCUUAUCUCAUGAUUUUCCUGAUUUUUUUAGGAUAACGAACCUGAAUAUAUCAUCAAUAAUUAUAAUUUUUUUGACGUGUACAGCCAUCACGUGAUGGUUUCCGUGAAUCCAGGGAGGACUUAAUUUGGGGCAGCAGGAACUUACGAAGAAAUUCCGAUUUAUCUUGUGUGACCUACGUAAUGUAAUUUGAGAUCACUUUUAUAUUGUUGAAAAUAAAACGUGUUUCUUGCAUGUUUUCUACUUUGAUAAAAAGUACUUGUUAGAAGAUAACUGUGUAUAGUUCUCCUUUCAAGAAUUUUACAGCCAAGAGACUUUUCAUGGGAGAAUAGCAUAAAUAAUAUAUUCUGAAUAGAAAAUGGUUGAGCUAUUACAAGUGCAGAAGGCUAUAAUAUUUGAGCUGAAAUUUAUAUCCACAUGAAAUAAAGUCCUUGUUUGUUUGUUUUUUAUACGAAAGUAGAUCCAAUGAAAUUUAUAUCUUGAAAAUAACAUUCAAUUUUUGGUUUUCAAAGCAGCAUUACAGAAUGCUCUUUACCUGGACUGACGGUGGUUAUUAUUAUUACUUGACAAUGGUAACAAAAGAUGCUUAACAUAAACAAAGACUUGACCAUAAAUCUUAAAGAUGCAUUAUUACUUGUCAAUGUUCACUUUCCGAUUGGACCCAAGAAAUGAAGGGUAAGCUAUCAGCUUUUGGAUUUUUUAAAUGCAAAAGAUUGACGAAAGAUGCUGAACAUAAACAAAGACUUGACCAUAAAUUUUAAAGAUGCAUUAUUACUUCUCAAUGUUUAGAUUCCACGGGUUCAAUCAUUCAGCAGAGCCUUUAGCUGGGCAUAGAAGAGUUUUUUUAUAUAAAAUUCUCAUUCAAAUUUAAGUGAUAAUUCUUUUAUUUUACUACUUAAAAGUUGAGUCACCAGUUAAAAAUUUAUUUUUUCCGAGUGUGUAGGUGUAGAAUGAUUGUUGUUAUUGAUUCAAAAUAAAAAACUAACUCGAAAAAUGGUUUAAAUUAAGAAAUUAAUUUCUGAGAUAAACCAGUUAAUUCAAGUUAUUUUAGUUAAAAUAACAUUGUUUUUAUUUUGAUAAACAAAAUAUUUUUUCAUCAAUCCACUUUAUUUAUCCAGUUUAUGAAUAAACAAUCUGAAUAAUUACCUUUCACUUUAUAAAUUGUUUAUUUUAAUUAAAAAACAUCUGAUUUUUUAAGCAAAAAAUAUCAGGUUUUUUUCAUUCUUUUAUAGCACAUAAUUAAGACAAAACAACCAAAAUUAUUUCCGGCAACCACUAGAAUUAAUUAUGUAUCAAUCUUGGUUCCAAAAAUCAAGGUAAAAAGAAUGUAUUGCAAGUUACUUUUCUCGGGUAUUUUGAUAUUUGGACAGGGACAAUUUGGUAAUGUGAGGUAAUUGAUUCAGAGUUAAUAACUGUUUGAACGGUAAAACAAUAUCUUUAUAAAGAAUGUAUGUCGUCUCAAGGGAACCGCAUUGCAAGCUAAAGUAGUAAUGGCUAAGCUCUUUCCUAAGCUUGUUUCCUCUCUUGCCGUUCUUCUUCUUCUUUGUCAAUUUGGCUAUGUAGCCUGUCAACCACCGUUGCCUGCAGAUGAAGGUACACACGCACGAUAUACUUUUCCAUCUACGUAUAUAUCCUUUUCCUGCUAUAUACAAAAGAAGGAAGAAAAUUUGUUUAUCUGUUAAAUAUGAGCUUUUCCUUCAAUAUCUUCUCCCUAUCCAAGCAGAUGCUCUUCUCUUUCAGAUGACCCAAUUAAUAAUAAGUUAUGGACAAAGAGGGCUUUUUUUGUGUAGAUUCCAUGCAUGUCGCAUUGCAAACUAUAGUAAUGGCUAAGCUCUAUCUUAAUAAGCUCUUUCCUAAGCUUGUUUCCUCUCUUGCCGUUCUUCUUCUUUGUCAAUUUGGCUAUGUAGUCUGUAAAGCAACAAAUUUAUAUGACAUGCAUUAAUUGCCUGAAGAUGAAGGUACACACGAUUUCAUGCUUGUUGUUGACAGUUCAAUUUGCAUUAGUUCAAUUUACAUCAUUAAUGAGAUUUUUAAUAACAACCUAAUUAAUGCACACUACCUGUUUGAAUUUUGCUAAAAAAAAUGAUGUUUCAUUGUUGAAAACGUUUGGCAGAAAAGGCUUUGGAUGACUUGUUGAAAAAGUUAGAGUGGGGUUUUCAUCCAAACUCACACUUGCCUUGUUCCUCUAAUUCUGAAUACAUCAAAUGCGAUUGCACUACAUCCUCUUGUCACGUCACCCACCUGUAAGUUCCUAAUCAACUGCAUCCAAUUUUCUUUUAUUUUUGUAAGGCAAUACAUCCUCUUUAAAACUCACUGGUCGCUAUGGUUUCUAUGUAAACGCCAUUUUUGGGUGGUAGAACGCUCCCAGACCAGGACUUAACUGGAGAAAUAAAUGCUGAAGCCUUGGCUAGUCUCGUUUACCUAAAAGCAAUGUGAGUAUCAUCUGACAUGAUGAUAAUAGUUCGAAGUAAUUAUGCUGACUUCAAUUCAUUGAUAACUAUCUUAUUACCAUAACAGUGAUUUGUCCAAGAAUCAACUUCAUGGUGGCAUCCCUCUCACCUUGGGGAACUUGCGUUCACUCACCCGUCUGUAAGUGAUCCAGUACCAUAUAUGAUCAUAUACUACUACUACAGCAGUUUGGACAACAAAAGUGACUACUCGAUCAACUAUAUUAUUGAAGAAUAUAGUUACAGCCACUGUAUUCAUUAAUCUAAAAGUAUCUAAUUAUUGAAGAAAAAGAUGCAUAGUAGUUGAACGACGCAUCGUUUAAGCUAAACCCUACAAAUUAAAGUUUUUAAUUUAGAAUUUUAAAAACUUUAAUUUAAUCCUUAUUCUUUCAAUUUCUUUUAAUUUCACCCAUAAUUUUAUCAUGAACUUCUAAUUUCAUGUAGUUUCACUCAUGUCAAAUUCAAUUAUAAGCCCUAUAUUUGUGUGACUUUUACAAUUUAGUUAUUGUUUUCUGAUUUGUUCAAUUGGGUGACUGGAUGACCAUCAAACUUUUAAUUUUCUUUAAUUUGGGCCUUAAUUUUAAACCUUGUAAUCUUACGCACUUUACAAGUUGGUCAUCGGUUUUCAAUUUAUUCAAUAAAGUUCCUAAUGGCUCAUUAGAUUUCAAAAUUUAUGUAAGUAAACCUGAUUUGGUGUGCAAUUAUUGAGUUCCAACUGCAUACUCGAAAUUUGGAAGUGCAUAGAUACUUGAGUUUAGUAGUACAUAACAUAUGAGAAAGCAAUUGUCUAGCUAGAAGUCUGGCCCUGGCGAGAUGUUUUAAAAAAGGUUUUUUUUUUCGUGAAUAAACGAAUCGAUAUAAAAGUUCGGGUAGAUAAUUUAAUGGUUAGAGAAUUCUAUAAUGAAAGGAGUAUCAGAGAGUAAAUAAUUUCACUAAGCUAGUGUUAGUCUUGAGUACUGAUAAUAAGGAAAAACAUGUUUGCUCAUUUGAUUAGUCUUUGAAAGAUUCUAGAUAAAGAUAUGAUUAAAUAAUAGAAAAAAUAACAAUUAUUCUAUUUAUUAUAUUUUAAUAUAAACGUGUCGCAUAGCAACUAGAAAAUCUUAAUUAAUAUGCUAAAAGAUUAUCUAAAGUGACAUGUUUUUAUUUUAAAACUAAACUGAGAGAGUGGUUCUAGACCAAGACUUGAAAAUGACCAAAUCUCCACUUUGAUGAAUGUUUAUAAUUAAAAAUGAUAAAUUAAUAUUUAUAAUUAAAAAAUAGUAUUAAUAUCUUAAAAUAUUUACAUUUAUAAUUAAAAGAUAACAAUGGUUACGAAGAACACUAUUUAUUUUUAACGGGCCUACGUGGGAUUGCAUGGAUACGGCCCAAAUUUACUUAUUGGAUACAGAAAAUAUAUCAUAAAACUAAGUAAAUAAUUAUUCACACACAUUCAAACUAGACUAGAAAAUUCAAAUGAUAAAUUAAUAUUUAUAAUUAAAAAAUAAUAUUAAUGUCUUAAAAUAUUUACAUUUAUAAUUAAAAAUAAUAUUGUCACUAUGGGCGACUCCUAUGCUUAGAUUAUGUUUGACUAGACAACUGUUUGACUAAAUAAUCGGAAUAGUAUAUUGGAAGGGAAUUGUCAAGGACACAUAGAAUCCAAAUUAUAACAUUUUGUUUAUAGAAAUUAAAUAGGCAUUGUGCAUUAAUCAAUACUCGCCUAUUGUUAAUGCAACAUCCCAGGAAAACCACACAAUUAAAGUCUUUUAUUAAUUGGGUUGAUUUUGUAUAAACGACAAAAAAAUUCAAGACAUGAUUAAAAAUAAAUCCUGUUCUUGGAGAAAUGAUGCCAUCAAAAUUAAACUGUAGAAACAUGACAAAUUAAGUCUUUUAUUAAUUGAUUUUAUUACGUGAUAGACAAAAGAAUAAGACCCGACAAAACAUUUUUUUAUCCUGAAUUGAUUUUUGAAUUAAAAAAAAAAACAAUUUAUACAUAACAUAAACAAACGACAAACAUAAAAAAGACAUAGUCGUGUGCUAACUAUUUUUGUUUUUCCAUAGGCAACAUUCAAAGGAUAAGACCCGAUAAUGAAUCUUUUUUGUCCUGGGUCAAUUUACAUAUAAAUAAACAAUUAAAUUAUUGGUCAGCGUGCAGAUGAAUUCCAACCAUACUCCCAAAAUUAAAAUACCAGCAAAGAAAUCAAAGCAUUGUUCGGAUCAAUCCCGUAUGGCAAUCUCGAAAUUGUGAUCAAUCCAAGGUCGGAUAGAAAACAACAUAUCAUUAAUUAUUAAAUUAAAGUCUUUAUUUAAAAUAAUUAAUUUCAAUAGUUAAUUAAAAAGGCAUAUAUAUAUAUAUCAAAUAUAAGUAUUCCAAAUAAUUUUAUAAUCUUUUAAUAAUUAAUAGUAAAAUAUGUAAAUAUGUUAAAUUAAAUACGAGUAUAAUUUUUUUAUAUUGUUUCAUUAAAGAGGAAAAAUAUAUUACAAGUAUAAUUUAGAUGUGUGUUUGAAAAGGUAAAAAAAUAAAUAAAAAAUAAGUGCCCUCCCAAAAAUACCAGCAAAGAAAUCUGCAUUGAUUCAUCAUUUGAUGUUUGUAAUCUUUUGUUAUAUUUCCAUUAAUGUUAGGUGAAUGUCUUCCCACUUCCCAUAUGCAUAGCGAUCUCUCCGAAAACUUUCGUAUUGGAUGUCUGUAUAGUUAUGUGCAAAGAGCAGCUUAUUAGCUUUUGGAUCAUAUACAAUAACUAAUUUCAGUUCUUAGUGUUUCUUCAUAAAAUUUAUAUUAUUGGUUCUUAGUGAGGAAUAAUUAAUGAACUUAUAUGGUAAUACAUAUGCACAGCGAUCUCUCUACAAACUUCUUCAAUGGCUCCAUACCUUCAUCCUUGGAGAAUUUGUCGUCCCUCGAAUAUCUGUAAGUAUCAUGUAAUCACAGUUUUUAAAGUUUUCCUAAUCAAGGAUUUAGAUUUCAUGCUUCAAAACUAAAUUUAUUAUUUCUAUUAUAGUUAAAAGCAAACUAUCCAUCAUCAAUUAUUAUUAUUAUUUUUUUAAAUGGCACUAACCAAAAAGUUUGACUUGGGUAUCGAAGAACAUCCAUUUUUACAUGAAUUAUAGGAGAACAUCUUGGAUAUUUGGGUUUGAUUUUAUACCAUUGCUGUUCUUUUAAAGAAUAAUAUAUAAUGAUAAGAAAAGAGCAUACAAUUUGUAACUUCUGUUAUCAAGAGUUCUAUGAAAUUAUAGUCUCAGCAUGCAUUUUCAGAAUAUAUAUAUAUAUAUAUAUAUAUAUAUAUAUAUAUAUAUAUAUAUAUAUAUAUAUAUACAAAUCUAACAUUAAUUUUUGUUUUCUAAAAUCACUUCUUUUAAAUUAUAUUCCAUUAAAUAAUAGUUAAGAUCUCAUUUUCAUUCGGAGAAUAAAGUGUUUAGUACUACAUAAUUAUAUUAUAAUGGUGAAAAUUUGAGUUAAGAACUCAAAUUUGCUUCAUUAAAUUAAAGAAGCUAUUGAAUAGACAAUUGAUAGAUUAUACUUGUAGUUGUAAUAGUUAAGAUUUUUUAAUAGAAUUUUUGGGGAAACAUUUUCAAGUAAAAUUAGCUUUGUUAGAAAUUAAAAUAAGGGCAAGCCGUAUGGGGUCUUGAUACUUAUAAAUGUUCAUGGCGAGGUGUUAAUGGUAUAGUUAUUAAACACGGAUCGGACUUGUUGGUUGAUCCAGAACCUGCUUGACUCGGUUGUUGAACCGGUCCGGGUAAGAUAAAAGACUGGAAUGAGCAAAAACUCGACAAAACCCAAUUAAGAUCUUUUUUUUUUAGUUGGUUAUUAACCAUUUUUAAAUUUUAGUAUAUAAAUACUAAAAAAAUACUUUAUUUUUUCAAUGUCAGAUUUAAAGUCUUUUAAUAUAUAUAUUAUAUGUUUAUAAGAAAAAAUUAAGUCAUGUUUUUUUAAUGUGGGAUAAAAAAUAUUUUGAAAUAAUAUUUUAAAUUUUAUUAUUUAUAACAUGUAUAACUUAUAUUCAAAUUGAUUGUUUAUAAAAAAUUUCAAAUGAAAUAUGAAAAUUUUAAAUAUUUUUUUUUCUGGGUUAAUUCGGGUCAACCAGUGUAACCCGAGACUCGGCUUCUUGGCUGGGUCAACCCCGGGUCAGGUUUUAUAACUAUGGGUAAUGGUCACAAAAAUUAACUUCUUAGUUCUGUUUGGUUCUCUUCUCUUAUGUAAUUAGGAUAGUAGCCUUGUUUGGCUAAUUGCUUAACUGUGUUAAUGCUUGUUUGGAUAUCUGCAUGGUUAUGAGCAAAGAGCUGCUUAGCUUUAGGAUAAUAUAUAAUAACUAAUUUCAGUUCUUAGUUUGUCUUCAUAAAAUUUAUAUUAUUGGUUCUUAUUUGAGUAAUAAUGAACUUAUUUGCAUAGCCGUCUCUCGAGAAACUUUCUCAAUGGCUCCAUACCUUCAUCUAUGAGGAAUUUGGCGAAACUCAAAUAUCUGUACGUGUCAUCCAAUCACAGUUUCUUUAAUAUCAUAUAAUGUCAAUUAAAUUCUUUUUUCAUUGCUGAUGCAAGUUUUGUGCUCUUAUUCUUGUGGGUGUUUUCAGGAGUUUGUCAAGUAAUAAGUUAUUAGGUCAAAUCCCUAAAGAAUUGGGCGACCUCUCUAGUCUCCGAUAUAUGUAUAGAAACUCGCUCGCUCGCUCUUUCAUUCUCCUUGAAUUUCCUUUUAACUUAUUUAGUUUGGUUUGGUUCAUAUCUCUUAUUUAAUUAGGGACUUGGGCUUCAAUGAACUCACUGGUCAGCUUCCACCACAACUUGGAAGAUUGAAAUCUCUAUAUCAUUUGUAAGUUUCAAGAAGAAUAAUAAUAUCAUACCACCUUGUAAAACCACGGAAGAUAGAAAGAGGAGAAAUAAAACAGAAAAAAGGUGGAUUACAAUCCUUUUGAUUUGUUGUUGUAGAGAUGUGGGCUCCAACAAUUUGAGUGGAGAACUGCCGGGAAAUUACGCCGACUUUAGUACUUGGGAUCAAUUGCGGUGGUUGUAAGUGCAACUCAUCAUGUUAUUUCAACCAACAAUCUGUUUAAUUAUUGUUCCAAGGAAAAGUAACUAACUAUGGCUGCAGUAGCGUAGCUGGGAACCGUUUGACCGGUCAAGUUCCAAGGUUCAUUGCGAAGUGGACUGGACUCUCUUACCUGUAAGAAAUUACUUUUACUUUCUGUAAUCAUACACGUGAAAGUAAGCAAUAUUAGUUGAUUGAGCUGAUUUCUCAAUGCUGAAUGUCUACCUCCAACCAUUUGAGCAGAGAAACUGUCGAUGAAUAUCAUUCAAUAAUUUGUCUUUGUGUGUACUGAUUUCAGGUCCCUCUCCGGGAAUGAUUUUGAAGGACAGCUGCCUCUUGAACUUCUUUUUAACUUGCCAAAUCUCCAAUACUUGUAAGUGUUCUAUAAUUUUAACCGGGUUGAAAUAAAUGCAUGUUUUAUUCUGGCUGGUUUUUCUUCCAGGUUUGUUAGUGAUGUAAGAAGCUCCCGUUUCCCACAAAAAGCAAAUAUGCCGAAAAUAAGAUACCUGUGAGUUUUUCCUUCCUUUGCUUUUCUUUAAAGCUUACACUAAGGGCAAAAGCUCACAUGCAGUACUAACUUGAGAUUUGUAAUUAAAAAGGAAAAAAAGAAAAGAAAAGAAGAAUGCCUGAAACUUCCUUGGUCCGGCCAAUGAGCUUAUAGCUUAACUGUCACCAACAUCACCACUCUUCACAUGCAUUAACUUUGUUAUAAUUUCAAAGUGGCAAAGCCAAAAUGUUUUGAGAUUGUGGUUGUAGAAUUGUGGAUAUGGUAUAAAGAUUAAUUUCACAUUGAAUAAUAAAAACCAUGCACACUUGGAAUUAUAUUUGUCUGGGAGUGUUAUUGUUGUAGAAUUUGGAUUAUAUUUUUUUUAGGCCUAUUUUUCUUUAUAUUAUCUUGAGUUUUUUGUAUGAGCUAUUACAUGCUGUGAAGACUAGUUGUAUCUGGGAUUCAGGUUUGAGAAUUAAUAUAUAUAUAUAUAUAUAUUAACGACUAUAGUAAAUUUAUCCUGGAUGUAGGCAUAACAGAAUCGUGAAGUCACAAAGUUGUGUUUUAUAUUUUUUUUGUCAAUAUUUAUGUACGUGACUCUUAAUGAUAUGUAUGCAUUGGAUAGAUCCAAACACCAACAUCUUCAAUGAUUUGUGUAGGAUGAUAAGGAAUUGCUCAAUAAGUGGUGAAAUCCCCCCGUACAUCGGUGAUUGGUCAUCGUUAACAUACCUGUAAGUUUCAUUUCCUCUUUUGUAAAGGAUUUGUAGUUCUAUUUUGAUUUUGAUUAUGUGUAUAGAAGUGUUUACAGAAUCAACUAUGCAAUAAUAGACCAUAGCACAACUAUAUAUCAAAUAUGUAGGAUAACGUUUGCUUUCAUUUUAUUGAUCCUGCAGAGACUUGAGCUUUAACAUCUUAACUGGUCGAAUACCAGAUUCCAUGAAAAAGCUGAAAUUAAGUAAGAUGUAUGCAAAAGAGAUUCCUUGAACUCGAUGUCUUAUAAUAAGUUCGUUCUGCCACUCUGUUAAAAAGUACAUGGGAUGGUUUUCAUACUGGUUUUGUUUUGUUUAGGUUUCUCACAGGGAAUAUGCUGAAUGGCCCAGUACCUUCCUGGGUUCCUGAUACCAUUGAAGACAAGGCGUAUGUUAUGGCUUUGUGCUCUUUGCUCAGAUGGGUUGUUUUCCCUUUUGUAGAUUGCCUCAAUAAAAUCUUGAUAUGUAAACAAUAAUGUUGCAGGGACUUGUCAUAUAAUAAUUUUGAAAUUCCACGUGAUGGUCCGAAGAAAGGAGAAGGAAAGCUGAACAUGUAAUAACGGCAACUUCAUUUUCUUCCUCCUUUUUUUUCACUUGCAAGAAUAUUGUUGUCUAUGAAAUUCCAACUUCUGAUCAUUUUGUAUCAUGUGCACCAACUGCUUGCAUAUAUGUUGUUCCUACUCAAGCAGUGAACCAAACAGGUAUGGUAAUAUCCUCCAUAUGGUGCAAUUAAUUUAGAACAAAUAAUCCUGAGCUAUUUCUUACAAAUGUUGUUUGCUAUUUCUAGGAUUUCUAUACGUGAUUUGACAGAUAAAUGUCGGCGGAAACGAAAGUGUAAGCUCUAUUGAGAAGCUCUUAAUUUUGCGCAGGACAGAUUUUCUGUACUGAUUAUCAUUUUUUGCAGACGAUUCCUUAUAUAUAAAUUGUGGAGGAGGAGGCACAGUUUUUGAUGGGAAAGAGUUUGAAGCAGAUAGUGCAACAUCAAAUUAUUAUUCAGCUCCAAGAAAAAAUUGGGCUUAUUCUUGUUCUGGAGACUUCGGAUCGAAAACUUACGAUUCCAGUGAUUACAUAAAAAACGUAGAUUGUGGAGUUUGUGAUUCUGCUGCGACACAGUUAUACAACUCAACUCGCCUCUGCCCUCUUUCUCUGACAUAUUACGGCUUCUGUUUAUCUAAAGGAAAUUACACUGUGAAACUUUACUUCGCUGAAACUGUUUACCAAAGUGAUGAAGAUUAUUCGAAUUUAGGGAAACGUGUUUUUGAUGUAUAUAUACAGGUAACCGCUAUAUUUUUCUGCAGCUUCUUUAAAAAAUUUCCAUCGUUAAACCUCCACUGUUUGAUAUAGGGGAACAGAACACUUAAAGACUUCAACAUAAAAGAAAUGGCCAACGGCACCAAUAAGACAUGGAGCCAAGAUUUCCCAGCAUAUGUAGGAGAUGAUCAUCUAUUGACUAUCCAUUUUUUCCGGGCUGGCAAAGGAACUUUCCUGGAGCCAAGAGUUUUCAAUUCACCUGCUGCACUGUCUCUAAAUGGACCCCUUGUGUCAGGCAUUUCCGUAACUGCAAGUAAAGAGUUGCAUUCUCUUAAUUUGUUGAGCAAAUAUUUCUGCUACCCUUUAUCUGGAUAAAUAAUUUUUUCUUUCUGUCUUCCACUAUUUGUAUCCAGAGUUCAAAGUUGGUGGCAAGGGACUAUCUCCUUCACAAAUUGCAGGGAUUACUGCAGGUUCAGUAUUUGCUGCUAUACUUCUGUCGGCUUACAUGUGGAAAAUGGGCUUGCUGCAGCAAAGCUAUUUGGGUGGUAACUCUCUAUGCUAAUCUAAAAUCAUUAUGCACCAUACAACCUUAAGAAUUCUUACUUUGAUGUUUUCUUCAAAUAGAUAAACCUAUACAGGUCCAAAAUGAAGGAGGUCAAGGAGAUGGAGAAUCUUUCACCCUCAAAGAAAUAAACGAUGCUACUCGAAAAUUUAGCCCCAAAAUGAAGAUUGGCGGGGGACGCUUUGGAAUAGUAUACGAGGUCAGAUUUUCUUUUUUGAAACAUUUGUUCCUCAACAUGCACUUUUUUCUUUCAGAGUUCUGGUAACUUGAUUUCACGUGUAUGCAGGCUGAAUUGCCGAACAAGAGAAAAUUAGCAGUGAUGAAGAUUUCUCCUCGUUCAAAGCAACAAGGAAAAGAUGAAUUACAAGGGGAAAUCUCCAAACUGAAAUCUUUGGAUCAUGAGAAUCUUGUUCAAUUAUUGGGUGACUAUUCUAAUAAAGAUCUGCAUCUGCUACUAUAUGAAUAUAUGCAGAAAGGCUCCCUUCAACGUGCGUUGUUCGGUAAUACUGCCAUCAACCAAUUUUCAUCCUGCUCUUUCGAUUCUCAAGUUUUAUCUUAAUUUUCACCUAAUGCAUUGCCUUGCGAAAUUCAUAUAAUUGUUGAGAACUAUAACACAGGAGUAAAUAGAAUUCCGUCACUUAAUGUUUGUGAGAGCUUCUAAUUGUAUAUUUAAAUCUUCUGUUAGUACAAGGAUAAUGUACUUGCAAAUAUCAUUAACUUAAUAUCAAUAAUCUUGAUUUGUAGAACCAAAUUCCACGACAGAACUUGAUUGGAAAGCUAGAUUUGAUAUCUGUCUGGGAAUAGCAAGAGGUUUGAAGUAUUUACAUGAAGAGAAAAGGAUUGUUCAUGGAAACAUAGAGCCUGGUAAUAUUAUGCUUGAUAACUCUCUUACGGCCAAGUUGUCUGCCUUUGGAUUGGCAACGCUUUUUGAUGAGGAAGAUCCAUUUAUGACCAACGAAGAAAAAGAGUCGCGGUAAGUAUUAUGAUCAUUGAUUGACAACUACUUUCAUUCUUUUAAUUAAGAGCUAAUUAACCAAUAAUUAAUCUCCUAUUGCAGAGUUUACAUGGCACCUGAGUAUUCAAUGGGAAAAGCAAUGGAUACUGUUAAAGCUGAUGUUUACAGUUUCGGAGUUGUCCUACUCGAAAUAGUUAGUGGGACAGUUAGUGCAGAAUAUACACCUAAUCAAGAAGAAGCUAAGUUUCUUCUGGAUAAAGUAAGUGUAUCUGACAGGAUAAACCCUCUUAUUUUUUUAUUUUUUUGUAGUUAUUAUCAAACCAAACAUGUUCUGCCAACAUUAGAUGACUUGUGAAUUCUACAACAAGCUCACAGGAGAAAUUUAUAAUAAAAAAGUAUAUUAUUAUUUAAUAAUUUGAAAUAUAUGUUAUACUCAACUCAAGCAAGAUUUAUAUAAUCAUAUAACAAGAAACAUAAAAAAAAUAGAAUAAAAUAAACUAUAGAAAAAUAUUUUUGAUUAGAUGAUUAAAUUUAUUUCUUGAUUACCUAGAGCUGUUCAAUUCCUACUCUUUUUUUUUUUAAUUAAUUAUUUUCUUAACACAUCCCCUCAAACUCAUGAUAAUUUUAUUUUUAUUGAGUUUGACAUACACAACUUCUAUUGUCAUUAUAUGCUUAUCUUUAAUAAUUGUAUUUUUCUAAACAUAGCUAUUAUUAGUUUUUUUUUUUUAUUAUUAUUAUUCUCAUAUGCUUGUUGCUAUACUUCUCUAGCCAAACAUUUCUUUUCAAAAUUUGAUUUUUCAAGUGCUUAUUUUAUUUUGACUCACUCUUAGUCAAAGUAAUAUAUUCUUCUUAUCAUGGCUCCUUAGCCGUUUUCUAUCUCUUUUGUUAGGAAGAACUUCUUUUUUUUUUCUUUUUUCUUUUUUUUAUUAUAGGUGGUCUCUUUUAUAGUAUCUCUUGUGCAAAAACAUAUCAGCUUGCACUAAGUCUUUUUUCUUUUUUCUUUUUUUUUUCUUUUUGCAUGUCUUUAUGUUGAUGUAGAAUCUCAAUUUUCUUGUUGGACUUUGUUGUACCUCCAUUGUUUUUAAAAUUCUUUGGAUGUUAUUUGAUCAUCCACAUGAUUUUGAAAUAAUUUCUCCUUAUAUGAGUUGAUUUAUCAUUGAAAAGGAAUAGUAAAUUAAAUAUUUGAUCGAUAAUGAAGAGUUUGAAAACAAAGUGUUUUAAAAUGAUUGGAUUGAUGGCAUAAAAUUGUCCAUCAAAAAAACAAAAGCUAAUCUUUAGAGCAGUAUAUAAUCAACCUGCUCUGAUACCAAAAAAAGAUUUAAAAUAUAAAAGGAUAUAUAUUAUUAUUCGAUAAUUUAAUACAUGUGUUACAUUCAACUCAUGAGGAGUUUAUAGUCAUAUAACAAGACCUAUAAGUAAAUGGAAUAAAAUAAAUUAUAAAAAAUAUGCUUGAUCAUCUCCUUUAAUUGGAUGAUAAAAAUAAUUUCUUGAUUGCUUAGAGUUAUUUAAUUCCUUGAUUUUUUUAAUUGAUUAGAAAAUAAUAAGUAAUAAUUACUUGAUUAUUUCAUUAAUACUGGGAGCUAAGCUAAUCUUGCUUUUCAAUUGCAGGCAGGUGUUUUGAACGAUAAGGGAAGAAUCAUUGAAUUGGUGGACCAGAAAUUAGAAUCCAAUUACAACAAAAGGCAGGCUCUCAUUGUUUUGCACCUGGCAAUGAAGUGCGUUAAUCCGUUUCCUACUCUCAGGCCUAAAAUGUCCGAAGUCGUCAAUGUACUUGAAUGUGAGAAAAGCCCUCAACCAAUUACUCUAUCAAUAAAUAUUGGAGGACUGUACGGAACGAUUUCCAGGCUGUUGGAAUAGAUCUAUUUUCUUAGAUAAUUGGUAAUGUUAAGUUUGAUGAUGAAAACCUUUUGCCUCCUCUUCUUUAUUUUGUAAUUACUUUGGUCUAAUUAUGUGGUGGUGACAAGAGAACAUUGAUGUGUGCGUGAGAGACUCCAUGAAAAAAUAUGUGUGUUUGUUUUGUUUGCUAUGAUUUAUUUAUGUUGUUAUGGCUGCUGGUAAUUUCGUGAAUUGAAUAAUAUUAUUAUUUGGCAUCCUUUAUAUAUAGCCUGUAUAAAGGAUAAUUUUAUGGUAUUAUCUACUUUACAAACUCAUUAAAUUUACGCAACUACAAUUUUAAUAUUAAAUAUUGGAUCAUAUUUUUAUUUUGGAUAUUGAUCUAAAAUAAUUACAUUUGGAUCAAUAAAUCUAACAUAAUUGUAAAACUUGAUAUAGAGUUGAUCAAGAUAAGAUACAGGUUAUGAAUUAAAAAGAUCAUCCUCAAAUGUUUUUUUUUAAUAUGAUAAAAAUCAUAUUUUUCUUUUAUAAAAUUAUUUUUAAAAAUUGAGGGCCGGGUGUUGACCGAUCAAUAAGUUAACUUAAAAUUUUUUUUAUCAAAUCAACUGAAUUAUUUAUUUAUUUAAUUUAAACCGCUCCAAAUUCUAAAUUAAUUAAAUUUCAGAUUAACCUAUAGGGUGAAUCCAAGUAGUAGCAUUAUAUUGUCUAUUUAUGAAAAACUCUUAAACUCUUAAACUUGGACCAGUUAGAUACAUAGGUAGAUGUAAAAGGUAUACUUUACUUUUUUGUAUAACGAAAAUAAAUACAAAUAAAAUUAUGAUACAUGAACAUUAAACGUCUAAAGAGACUUUUUUGGUAUAAAUAUUGCAUCAAUGUCGAAGCUAAAUGAUUGUCUUAGGAUACUUUCAUGAAUAAGACUAAUUAAAAAUAAAUUUGCUUUCCAAACCUAAGAAGUUUGAAUGGAAUAAGUCCCUUUUAUUACAAUCUGAACUUACCCCUUGAUAUUCCCUGCACAUAUAGCUGUUAAUAUUAAAUUUUUUUAAAAUGGAUUAGAUCGAUUACUGGAUAAUUACGUUAUGCUACUAGCCGAACAAAAAAAAAUGUAUAAAAAAAUGUUUAGGCAACGAGUAAUAUUCUGAUAAUAUUAUUAAAUUUAGAGAAAUGAUUUAGUUUUGAAUUCUUUUUAUUUAAUUCAAAUUUCAAAUCAAAAUCAUGUUAGAGUUAAUUUAAUAAAAUAUAGUGAAUUUGACAGGUAAAAUAUUAACCUAAAUGCCAGAUAAAAACUGACUUUGAAAAUCUUUUUUAAAAUGACAAUUUUUUUUUAAAUUGAAAUAAUAAUAUAUAUAUAAUUAAAUUAAUUUAUUAAAUUCAUGAUCCAAACAAAAUUGUUUUAAAACCUAGACUAGCCGAUAAAUCAGCCUAGACCCAGUUAAUCUAAUCUAUGAAUGGAGCCAUUCGAGUUGAAAAAAAAAUAAAAUCAGCUGACCUGUUUAACUAACUAUCACACCGUUGAUGAAUUUUAUUUUUUUGGAUUUUUUAUUAAAAUAUUAUUUUUAAAACUAUAAUAAACAGUGCUUUUGUGAGACGGUCAUAGUGAAUUCCCCUCUUUUGUAAUUUUUUUUAUAAUAAUAAUAAUAAUAGAGAAAAUGAAGACGUAAGAAAAAAUAGCACUGUACUGUAAGUAUUUAGCGGUUAGUGACACGGUAACGACUGGCAAUCUGUUUAUGCAGAGCCCAAAAAACCAUAACCGUCGAAUCAAGCACACAUUUUGACCAAGAUCCCAUAAAAACCCAAUAAUCCAAAAGCAAAAUUGGUGGCUGAAAUCAAGUAAACCGUGAACCCUUUUCGUAGAUAGAAGGCAAAAUCGCUUUCUUGUGUUUUUGUGGGGUUUAUAAAGGGAGGAAAGAUAGGAAUCUGCGUGUCAAAACCAUCUGCCGCAGCAGCAGCAGCCCGGGAGGAGGUAGUGGUGAGGAGAGUAUUGCCACCGCCACAAUCACCGGCGCCGGCAGCGGCAGUAGCGACAAAGGGAUAUUCUGGGCUGUUGAGUAAUUCGAAAUCGGGACAUCCAGUGCGGAGGACUCCUGUCGAUAUAGUUAGACAGACUCGCGAUCUUUUAAUCUAUGCCGAUCAGAGUUCAGCUUCUCUAUCAGAUUCAAAACGAGAAGAGAAGGUUGGCAGUCUCUUUCUUAUCAUUUCUAUAUAUUUUAUGUGUGCUUGUGUUCCUUUUCUGUUGUUUUCUUUUAAUUAGGUGGAUUUUGAUUGAUUUGAGAUUGUUUGGGGUCUGGGUUGCUUUUCUUUUUUUGCUUUGGAUGAGAAAGGUUCAAUCUUUAUGAAAAAAUUGCGUUUUUUAGGGUGAUUCUUGAUGUCUGAUUGAGGUUUGGAUUAGAGUAUGCUAUAAUAUGCUGUGAUAUUUACAUAGAUAGGAAGAAAUAGUUAAUUUUCUGAGUGCUAAUGUGAUUGCAAAGAGGUUAGUUUGCUGGCCAAGUUUAACUUGAAUGUGGUUGGGUGUGCUGUGAGAGGAAUCUGAUAUUACUGGCAGUUGGUUGGGUGUAAAGGUUUUAGCUUUUUAGUAGCUUUAGUAGUCAAGGGAGUAAUUAAAAGUGGAAACUUUGAUUGUAGGUUUGUGAAUUUGGUGUGAUCUGUGGCGCUAUAUGUGUCAUUGAUUUGUUUCAACUAGUUUGUUCACAAUAAAAGAAUUAGAUUAGUGUUGUUGAAUUUUGGUGAGUGUAGAUGUAAGAUUGCGAUGAACAUGCAUUAGGGUUUUGAAGCUUCUGUCAAGCAUUUUAUUUGUGGAAUUCGAAUUUGACAAUUGUAUUUUCUAAUACAGAUGGCAGAGUUAGCUAAAAAUAUCAGGGAGUUGAAGUAUUUUCUAAAAAUUUUAUUUGUCUUUAUUGCAUGUUUAUGAAGUUUUUAUGUUUCGGCCUUGUAUUUGCUAUUAGUUGAAGUGUGAAUCUGAGACUUUUAUAUUGUUUUGUUGCAGGAACUAUUGACAAGACAUAAAUCUACAGUAGCUGAAUUUCUUUCUAAGAACUAUGAUUGGGUGAGUUCUGCUGUUACUUAUGUUUAGAUGCUAACUUGUACAGGUUUAUACUUGUUUCUGCUAUGUAUGCCUUAGGUCAUCCCACACACACAAGGUGGUGGAUGAUAGGCAUGCCCAAUCCUCUUGUUUUCUAAAGAAUUUGUAGGCAGAGCAGUAUUUUGGUGAGAAAACUUGUGGCUGAGAUUAGAGAAAGAUGAUGUGCAGAUUUAAUUAUCUGGUGAUGCAUUAAUAACACGAUAUCGUGACUGUGCAAUGAUGGAGACAUAAAGCAGAAUCUAAACCAAAAUCGUAUAAAAGUAAUGUAAAGGUUUUAAGCUCUAAUGGUUUUUUUUUAACACCCAAAUUCAAAUCCUAUAUACCUAUAGAUACAUAUGUGCGCAUAUAUUGCCUCAGUUAUGCACGCACUGACACUGUAUAAUGGGGCAUACCUGAUCCUCUAUAGUUUUUUCAAAGAAUUUGAAGGCCAACAAAAGUGUUAGCCGGAAAACCUUUGGUGAGAUUAGAGAGGACGGUUUGCAAAUUUAUUUUUCUGGUAAUGCAUUAAUCAUCUCAAAAUAUUGUGGCUCUGCAAUGAUGGGGCAUAUAAAGUAGAAUCUAUUACUCGACUCUCUGAUGAAUUGAGCAGCUUUAUCUCCUCAUUUUUAUAGCAUUCUUCUUUGCUUUUUUAAACUGCAUGUUGGUAGCUACAUAUCUAUGACAAAAACAUGAAUUGCAACAUUCUAAAUGUGUCUUUAUUUCCUGUUGUGGUCAUGCUUGCUAAAUGUUGGUCAGAGCUUGACAUUGUCUAACUUUGUAUGGACUUCAGUUUUUUGCUGAAUUUAAUUCGAAGCUGCUAGAAUCCACCAAUUACAUUACAAGACGACAAGCUGUCAAGGUAGGGAAACUUAAUUAUAUCCCGCUCAUAUAUCAUUAGAACAUUCAAUGAAGCAAUUCUCUAGGCAUCUGAACCUAGGAAAAUGCUUUCAUUAAAAUGUGCUUUGUUAUUGUCAUUGAUAAUUGUACUAUUUAUUAAAAAGGCUUCUUUAAUUGUGACAGCUGUUGGGAGAUAUAUUAUUGGAUCGUUCUAAUGCAGUUGUGAUGACACGAUAUGUGAGCCUAGAGAGUAGUCAUGAAAGAGCUUGGUUGUUUAUUGUAAUUAUUUUACAUAAAUUGUAGCUCUCAUAGCGAUCUGUGGUAAAAUUACAUGUAUUGAAAGGAAGAGAGAAAUAAAGAGACAUGAAUCGAGUUCAAUCCAAUACUCGGCUUUUAGAAACCCUGUUAGAGAGCAUGUUCAUGUUUUUGUGAACCAUGUCCUCUAUUGGAAGCCGUCAUUAUUCAGCUUCACCGUAUGUUCAUUCCCCAUGGUAACCUACUUGAAGCCAUAUAGGUCUCCCUCUCCAUAUGUACACAGACUUAUGUACAAGUUACGAGUCCUUGUUCGAGGGAGUGCGGACGUAAAGUUGCUAUAACUCUUGUCAAUGGUAGGAGUCUGAACCAAGUCUCAAGUGAGGAGAGUAGGCAGCAGUCGCAUGUUACUAGAUUCCCACCGCCAUUAGGGGUCCUCCGUUACACCAUUUGACCGUAUACAGAGUAUCAAAGGACAUUCCUCAGCAGAACCUACUGAGGAUGAUAUGAUAGGAAGCUUCGUUUGGUGGGCCACAGGGUAGAGAAUUCACACCAAAAUUCUUUUCUUCUUGCCAGGAAAGGAGUCAUUUUCUUUAUUAUUAAAGAUGAGGCCUCCAUGUGUGAGUCACGACUCACGAGUGAACAUCACCAGCAUAUUCCAAGCAUCUACUUCAAUUCCAAAACCAGAAUGUUCUCUGCUGCUAUCACUUUUUAUCCUACAUCUAAGAUCCGGUUCAGUAUAUAGGCUAACCUCGUAAUCCGAGUUAAAUAGGUGGAACAACCUAUUAUUUUUUAUAAAAAAAAUAAUGUUAUUUCAAAUUUUAUUUAUUAAUAUAGAUUAAUCCAUCCAGUAACAUUAACCUUCAACUAAGUUGAUCCUCGAUUCGUUACUGUAACUAUGUUUUUAUUGCCAUAAAAAGAAGAUGCGUUUAUCAUCCGAAUUUACUUUCCACCAUAUUCAUUUCGUAUUCUCACGGUAUCUGAUUUUAAUGCUUUCAUCAGCAAUCACUGAGUUUGAUGCUGGGUUUUUUUUUUUUUUUUAAAGAAAUGUAAGAUUUUAGGUAUUUUAGUUCUAGGAAAACUACAAAUAUACCCCCAGUUAUUAGGGAGGUUUUAAUUUGGUCCCUAUCUUCCUAGGCUCACCAAUGAUGCCCUCCAUCAUUCAAAAUUGAGCAAAUCUCUUUCCCCAUCAUUUGGAUGUUAAUAUUUUCUUAUGUUAAUAUUUUCUUAUGUUAAUAUUUUCUUAAUUUCAUAGGAAAACUCAAGAGUAACAAUAUGACGUAGGGGAAGAGUAGCCAUAAAAAAGGGUUAAAAGGACUCAAAAGGCACCACUAAAGGACUUCCUUUUUCACCAGGAAUUUGAUGCAAAAAGUACACAGACUGGGUGAAAAGGCAGAUUCUUCAGCAUAUAUAUGUAUAAAGAGAGAGAAAAACAGAAAUCAAACGGUCCAUUUUGUGGUUUGCCUGCUGCUUCCUUUUAGACGUAAAAAAACUCGAGACACAGAGCCUUUCAUCACCAUCACCUCCACCACAAUCUACUUCCCUCUGUCACUCUCUUCUUUCUACAUACAAAUUUUAAAACAUGGCACAGAAUGGUAGGACCCCAUCAAGUUUUUUUAUUGCAUUCUUUCUCGUUUUGUUUUUGAUUUCUUGGUUCAUUUUCAGUAUGGGAUCUUGAUGAUUUUUGCAUUUUGUUUUUUAUUUGGGAUGUUUUAGAUUCUCUUUCAGAGUUCUUGCAGACUGCUGUUGAGGCAGCAAAGAGAGCUGGAGAGGUGAGAUAUAAAUUUUAGAUUUUGUUUUUCCUUUUUUAGGGGUCUCAAAUUUAGUCUCAUUUUCCAUUUCUUGUGUGCUUUGUAGAUAAUCCGUGAAGGAUUCUACCAGACCAAGCAUGUGGAGCAUAAAGGCCUGGUACCCAUCUUUGCUUUUCUUGGGUUCUUUUUGUAUCUCUUUUUCUUGUUGGUCGUUAAUCAAGGUAGUCUUAUCUUGGACAUUCUUGUUGCAUCAUGUGAUCUUGAAUGUAGAGUCUGUGUAGUGCUUAGCAAUUUUUUUCCCCUAAAGAAAGGAGAAUUGUUGAUCAAAUGCUGCUAAAUAAUCUUGAAUUCAGAUCAGUGAUUGAUUAUAUCUGAUUGCAAAUUGAAUUUAGAAUGCAAGGGGGACCUUUAAGAUCCCAGUUUGUAAAGCUGAUGGAAAUAAAAUUUUAAUCUUGGCAUUGAGGUGAUCUUGUUUUGGAACAAAACUAGGAAUUGAAUUUAACAUGCCGGGGGAGCUUUAAAAUGGCAAUUGAAUUUAGCAUCAACGUCUGUAAAGCUAACGGUAAUUGAAUUCAUCGUGCAUGAGGUGCUAAAAUCCUUGUUUGUAAAGCUGCUGGGAAACAAAGUUUUUAUCUUCACGCUGAGGCUGAGGUCAUCGAGUUUGUAAAAAAAUUGAAAGUGCUUUUGCUAUUUUGUAAUGCUAGCAUAUUUCCUUUGUUAAUUGGACUGUAUCAUCAUAACUGUGGACCAGAGGAGAAAAUUAAAAAAUUAGAAGUUGCCAACCCAUUUGUGUUAAUUUAGCCCGGAUAAAAGUGCUGUGGCUAAACAUACUUCACUAUAUGCGUGUAAUUACUGACAAUUGUUUAUUUUAUUUCUCAAUUGCAGGUGGAUUUAGUUACUGAGACUGACAAGGCUUGUGAGGAUCUUAUUUUUAAUUAUCUCAAACAGCAGCACCCCACACAUAAGGUUAACAACUUACUUUAGUAUUUUCUACUUUGUAGGUGAUGAAUUUGAGCAUUAUUGAUCUGUACGGGGAAUAUUGUCUCCUAAAAAGUGCCUCUGUUUUUCUCUUGAAAGUUCUCUUUUGCUGGUUUUCUUAGUUCAUUGGGGAAGAAACUACUGCUGCCUGUGGUAUUACGGAACUGACUGAUGAACCGACAUGGAUAGUUGAUCCUCUUGAUGGAACAACCAACUUUGUCCAUGGGUAAAUGCAAUUUUUUUUUUUUAACAUUGUUUAGUGAAGGCAAUUUCCUCUUGUUUUUAUACAUGUAACAUCACUUUAAUUUGUCGCAACAUGUUUGGAUGUAGGUUCCCCUUUGUGUGCAUUUCUAUUGGUCUUACAAUUGGAAAAGUUCCUACAGUAGGUGUUGUUUACAACCCAAUAAUGGAAGAGGUGAGAUUUUAUAUAUUGCAUGUUAGUUUUAGGUGGCCAGAUAUUACUUUGAACUUUAAAUGAUUAAAAUUUUAUGUAGAACAUGCACAGUUUACCUCCUUUCAUAUAGCCUGGUGAUCUUCUACAUGUAUGCUGGAUGUUAGUGCAUCUUUCCUCACAAAAUGAACACUGACCAGUGACCACUAGUUUUCAGCUUCAUGGUCCUCUACUCAGAUAAAUGUCUGCUUUAUGAUGUUGAGUCUGCCAGUAUUUAAAUAUCGGGAAAACGAGUAUCUAGCUAUAUCUAAGCAGUUAGUCCAUCAAACUUUUGUCUGCCUUCUUGAACACUUCUUGCUUUCACUUCAGAUAUGUGGUCGUAUAUUGUCCCAUUUAACAUCGAAGUUAAUGUUCUGUCAAAAUUUUAUAGAAUUUGAAAUGUGAUCCAGUAAUUUGCUAAAAGAUUUUGGAUUUAUAAAUGCAGCUUUUUACAGGCGUCCAUGGAAAAGGUGCAUUUCUGAAUGGAAAACCCAUAAAAGGUGUCUCUGAGUUGACUAUUGUCAGUUUCCAUAUUUUGAUACUUUUGCAUGCUAAUCUUUCCAUGAAACUUAAGCAGCUAUGUACUUGUGUUUCGAUUGCAGUAUCAUCUCAAAGUGAGCUUGUGAAAUCUCUUCUUGCAACAGAGGUAUGCUUUUCAGCAUCAUUUUUGUCUGCCCAAACUUGCAAACUGAGAUGCUUUUCAGUUUAGAUAGCUUAAACUGAAAUAUAACCGGGAAUCAGUUUUGAAACCUGAGAUGAAUUGGUGCCCUACUGUCUCAUAUUUUUUUGGUACAAUUCUAUCCUUCUAACUGUACAUCUCCAAUUGGUUUCUUAUUGGAUCGGUUUGAAGGGUGUUAAAAUUGCCUUGGGCACAAUCAAUUUCAGUCUUAACUCCAGAUAGUGUCAGAAAUGUUAAGUGCUGAGUAAGGGUAGCUUGUUUUAACCCUGGAUUGAUUUUUCUGGCAUGCUAACCCUUCUCGUUUAUAUUAAAAUAUUGUUCGUAGACUCUAGAAAUCCAACUCCCUGUAUUUGAAAUGCAGAUCUAUGCGUUGUGAAUGUAUUUAGUUUUUACCAUGUUGCACUUGCAAAUACCCUGCAAAAGGAGUGCUUUAAGUUCACCCCUGUUAUGCUCUGUGUGGAAUCUGGUUAAAACUCCUUUCUACUUCAAGUCCACUCCUUUAUGUUUCAUAAAGGAAUCAUGUUAGGAACUGACCAAACUAAAAUCUUCUAAGAGCAGGCUGGAACAAAACGUGACAAGUCUACUGUGGAUGCCACUACGAACAGAAUUAACAGCUUACUUUUCAAGGUGAGACCAGAACAUGCUGUGGAAGCUAUGUUCUUUGGUAAAAUGUAUUGGUUUUCUUAAAAUUCAUAUCUGAUUAUCUUGUUAUCAGGUGAGAUCCCUUAGGAUGACUGGCUCCUGUGCAUUGAAUCUUUGCGGAGUUGCAUGUGGAAGGAUUGAUUUGUUUUAUGAAACCGGAUAUGGAGGCCCGUGGUACGUAUUUGUGAUUGACGCAAGAAAAGUUCAUCUGGACGCAUGAUUGAUAUAAUCUACUCUUGAACUCAGGGAUGUGGCAGGUGGUGCUGUGAUUGUCAAAGAAGCUGGAGGAAUCGUUUAUGACCCGUAAGUGAUGCUAUUUAUAUUUCAUCCCUUCCACAACUUAGGUGGGGGUAGUGUGGGAUAUAGAGAGGAUAGUCCCAUGCAUGGACAUGAAAGAACAGUGUUUAUCGAAUGUCAACAUGAUUUAAUCGUCGUCUUGUGACAUCCUCAACUCUGUCAUCCGGGCAAGCAAUAGGUCAAAGAUAUUAAGAACAUAAGCAUAUGCUCACAUUUUGUCCAGAAUAUAAUGCGUGUUCUGAUAUUUUGAUGGUUGCUCUUUCGGCUACAGAUCUGGUAAAGAUUUUGACAUCACUACUCAAAGAGUCGCAGCUUCAAACCCGCUUUUGAAGGAAGCAUUUGUUGAGGUUUUGCAGCAAUCAGAAUGAGACAAUUCAAUAUCCUUUGUAGCAAUCAGAUGAGCUCAGUCGAUAUCGUCGUUAAGGCUUAAAGAAACAUCUUUAACUGAGAGAGUGGCAGCAUCAAUAAUGAGUCUUCCAAUUUGUUGUGGUUUUUAAACAAUGCCUACUUAUAUGUAUACUCUAAUUGAGAAGACAACUACCAUUGUUGAUCAUGCAGACCACCAUGUUACACAGAUUGUGUGGUUUAUAUACCAGUUUUUCUACACUUCUCAUUGAGCAAGGAUCAUGCCUUGUUGAACCAUAGCUGCUUCUUUCUGUCUCUCCCAGUGAUACCUGAACCUAUUAGCUUGAUUCUUCUCUAAACAGAACUGAAUUCCAAAAAGAAUUUUGCAUCUUUCGUCGUAGCUGCAAAGUUCUCUGCAGCCAGAAUUGGCAAAAAGUGACCACAGCUGACUGCAGCAAAAUGCAGACAGGGAAUUCUUGAUUGAAUUUAUGAAUUAUUUGAAAGGUUCAUGAUGCAGGCGGAAACAAGAAACAAGAAAGACAACACACAGAAAUACAGUAUUUUGCAGAAAAAGUUUCAAUUAAUUUUAAUUCUAAUUUUUAUUACUCAAUAUUUUUCCAAUAAAAAGUAUCACAACUAUUAUAUGCUAUUUAUAUAUUAGAAAAAACAAUUUUAAUAAAAUUAAAAAACUGUUAAAUACGCAUCAAAACCAAGAAGUUAAGUUUCUUUUGAAUAAAGUAAGUGGAUGAAUAAAUCUUUUUUUUUUUUUGUUAUUAUCAAACCAAACAUAUUCUGCGAACAUUAAAUGCUAAUUAACGAAAUUUAUAAUAGAAAAGGAUAUUAUUAUUUAAUAAUUUGAAAUAUAUGUUAUACUCAACUCAAGCAAGAUUUAUAUAAUCAUAUAACAAGAACCAUAAAAAAAAUAGAAUAAAAUAAACUAUAAAAAAAUAUAUUUGAUUAGAUGAUUAAAAUAUAUUUUUUUCAUGAUUAAAAUAUAUUUCAAUAUUUCCCCAAAUAAAGUUCUAGUUCGCACCAGCUUGUGUUUUGACUUCUUUUUAUUUGAACUGAAAGCCCUUUUAGCAUUUCAAAAUAUAUCAUAUUUACCCUGUCCUCCUCACAAGUAUUUCCCAUCUGGUCCCCCCCUUUUGACCUCAAAUUUUGUUCAAGGUGUGCCAUCUUUUCUUCAUUUAUUUGUGAGUAACAACAACUACAAGCUCCUUUCCUUGUAUUGCUUUUGGCUACUUUAGAUUUGUCUUUCUUGUUCAAUUCUAUACAUUGCUAUUUAGGAUUUAGAUUUCUUCCGUAUCUGUAACUGAAAAGCGCCAACUUCUUUGCUUGCUCUUGCUAUAUUAUGCAAUCUUGGAUUUUGAUUUCACUUCCUUAUUCAUCCCUCUUAAUGGAUUUUGGUUUCCAUUGUUCUGCUAUGCUCUGCCUUGAUAAGAGUCCUUAGUUUCUAUAUAUCUUAAAGCUCAAUAGAUUUCCAUAUUUCCCCAGUAAAGUUCCAGAUUUCGAAAUGAUGGGCAUUGUAGGAUCUAGACGUUUCAUUUGUGUACUUUUGUCAAUCUUAAGUUUGGUAUGUUUAUCUAGUGGAUUCACUCAUAUAGACUGUCACAUGUGUGCGGCGUCGCGGUAAAAAUUGUUCCACUUCAAAUCUAAAUAUAAUAUCUAUCUAUAUGGCAAAUAUAGGAAGAUAAAAAACUCUUGUCGUUUAUCGGUGGAAAAUGAAAUGUGAGUCACCACUUAAUAUUUUGGUCACUAGUAACCUUAACUGGUCUCAGAGAUCAGAUACGGGGACUGAUUGCGUAAAGGGAAGGUAUUAGUACCCCAAAUACGUCUUAUCUAAGUUAAGCUGUAUUGUUUAAUUGUCUGAUAAAAAGCUAAGGUGUUAUUAUAUUUCUAAUUGUUGGUCUGUUUAUGGUUCAAGAAAAAUUCUCCUUAGUAAGGAGGUCCUUAUCGUAUCGGGUAAAAAUCUAAUUGUUCUAACGUCUAUUUGAAAACUAUAUUUUCAAUAUCAGGAAUACGUUUUACGUAUAAAUUCAUAAUCUCAUAUACUAAAAGAAGACAAAAAGAUUUUUAAAUUUUUUUGAAAUAUUGCCUGGUUUUCAUGGCUCUAACAAACUUGUUGUUAAAACCAAAAUGCAUGCUAAUACGUAUAUUUUUUAAAAUUUUCUUUAUUGUAUAAAAAUAUGAUAUGAUGAUUUUUUUUUUUGAGAAACUAGACCGUAUGCAUGAAAACAAAACCUUUAUAUAUAUAUAUAUAUAUAUAUAUAUAUAUGUCUUGACGAAAACCGGAAAUUUUAAUACUGGAUUAGUAUCUUUAUAGUAUAAAAAUACAAAUCAAUAUAAAGCAAUAAAAAUAUGCAUGAAAAUCAAUAAUGUUUUUUAAGAAUUUUUCAGAAUUUUGAAAACAAAACAUUUUUUUUAUGUCUUGACAAAAACCGGGUAUUUUAAUACUAGAUUUGUAUCUUUACAGUAUAAAAAUACAAACCAAUAUUAAGCAAUUUUGAUAAAAAUAUGCAGGAAAAUCAACAAUUUUUUUAAGGAUUUUUCAGAAUUUUUUUUUAUAUCUAUAUUUAUAAAUAAUAUAAAAACAUUAUAAUAUAUAAUAUAUAAUAUUAGGUGGGUUGGGUUGGGCCAGCCCAACUAACUGGGCCGAACUCAACCCCAAAAGGGUUGGGCCGAUCUCGGUCUAGUAGUUCACUCUGCCUCUUUGGGUCUGGGCCAGAUCCGGCCUAGACAUGAAGGCUGGGCCAGAAUCAACCUGGCCCACAAAACCCGCCUGGCCCAGAAAAAAAGGAACCCAUCAGUGUUGGGCCAGCAGCGACCUGGCCCAACAACAAAAAACCCACGGAUGGGGGGAAUUAUUUUCCCCCUCCUCUUCUCUUGCAUGCAGAACGAUAUUCGUUCUACAUGCAGGAGGAAAUGUAGCCAACAAAACAAAUGAAGGGGGGGAGGAGUUUACCUGGUGCGGUGGAGGCGAUGCCUUACUGUUCUGACUGCUUCGCUAGCGGUGCUGCGGUGGAGGCCGGUGGCAGUGUCGCGGCUCACGGACGGCGGCUUCAAGAAGCGGUGUUACUGCUUCAAGCGGCGGAGAGAGGGGUUAUUGCUCUUCCCUUCUCCUCCGUUUCCUUUCCUACUCUUUCGAUUUGUUUUUCCCUUUCGUUGGUUUGUUCUCUCUCCCUCUGGUUUGUUCUCUCUCUCUCUCUCUCUCUCCGUUCGUUCUCUCCGUUUUGUUUCUCCUGUUUUGGUUCGUUUUCUUUCUUUUUCGGUUCGUCCUCCUUCUCUCUUUUUUGUCCCCCUCGCGUGCUGGCGUUCAAUCUCCAUUUGUAGGGGCAAGGGAGCGGGACCUCUUUAUUGUUGUGCAUGGGGAGUAGGGCAGCACUGGGUUGGUUGGUGGGCACGACUGGCAAGGCGUGGCGCCCCUGAUUUCUCAUCAUCAAGGUGCUUGGGGCUUUGGGUCUUUCGUAGGGCACGCGGCUCGCAGGAAUCAAUGAAGAAAGAAGAAGAAAACUGUAUGCCUUCCCUUGCUGCACGUCCAGGGGAAGGAGAAAGAGGAACGGUGUCACUCAAAACGACACCGUUUUGCUCUUUGUUUUUUUUUUUUUUUAACAUGAAACGGCGUCGCUUUAUACAAAACGUGUCAUUUCAUUUAAAGGUGGCGCUAGCAUAUUCAUUUCCAAAUCAAUCCUUAAUUUAUCUUUUGUUCUUUUAAGUCCUCACAAUGUAAUCUUGAUUUUAAGAAUUAAUUCAAUUGCAUCCCUGCCAAUUUCAAUCGCCGCCCCUAUAGUUGUCCGCCUUUUCACUUUAGUCCUUGGUUUUGAAUUUGUGCAUUUGGACCCUCAAUUGAUUAAUAACCUUCCAAUUUCUUCAAUUUGACCCCUGAUUUGGUUGAUUACAGCCCCUCUAUUUACGCGCCUUUUCCAAUUUGGUCCUUGGUUUUGGAUUUUCUCAAUUAAAUCCCUAAGUGGCCAUUAAACUUUAAUAUUUAUGCAAUUAAGCCCCUGAUUUGACCAAAUCAACUCUCAAAAAUUAUAAUUUGACCCCAGAACUUUAAUUUCUUCCAAUUAAAGCCCAAAUUGACUUAAAAAUAAAUUUGUCUUGCAAUCAAACCCUUUAUAAAUUCAAUUAAACCUUCAAUAAAAUCCAAUUGAGUCCAUAAACAUCCAAUUUUGGACUUUUCUCUUUAAAUUGAAUUUUAUUUUCCAACAGGGCUCUCAUCAUUCAAGGAUAUACUGUCAAAAUUUUAAUCUUUGUAUUUUUAUCCUUCUUAAUCCAUUUUUCUGAUAAUUUUCUGAGCGCUCCCGUCACCUGUUAUUUUUUCUAAUUUCUUCCGGCUAUAUAUUUAUUUAUUAUUAUUUUAUCUUUUUAUUUUUUUUUUUAUUUUUGUGUGGGAUCCAAAAAUAAGUUACAAUAUAGACAAUUAUCUUAUAGACUGCGGAUCACUCAGCAAUACUACAGUAGGUAACCGUGUUUUUGUUGCUGAUAACUCUGCCUCCAACUUUCUUUCAACCCCGAAAAACACUUUUGCAAAUGCUUCAAUAUCUGUCACUUCUGGGGAUGAUUCACCGCUCUAUCAAACAGCAAGAAUCUUUGAUGGAACCUCAAAGUACACCUUUUUGAUUAACCAACCUGGGAGGCAAUGGAUUCGUCUAUAUUUCUAUCCAUUUGUUAGUGGUACUUACAACAUGAGCAAUGCGAGUUUUGGUGUUUCCUCAGCAAUUUCAGUGUGAAGGCUUCUGUUGUUAAAGAAUUUUCAGUUAAUGUAACCUCAAAGAACCUUGUUAUCACCAUCACUCCUUCAGGCAAUUCAUUUGCCUCUUAAAUGCCUUUGGAAGUCGUUUCAGUUCCCGAUGAGCUCAUUACAGAUGAUGCUGAAACUUUUAAUCCAGUGGGGAGACUGUUCAUAGGGUGAACAUGGGUGGACCAACAGUUUCCUUUGAGAAAAAUGAAUAUCAUUAUCUUUUUCCGAGAGUGUAUUGGUGUAGAAUGAUUGUAGUUAUCGAUUCGAAAUCGGAAACUAACUCGAAAAAUGGUUUAAAUUAUCAAAUAAUUCGAAUUUUCAGUUAAUAAAAAUGUUUUUAUUAAAUGGAGAAUUUCUCUCUUCUAAUUAAUUAUACUGGCUGAGUUUCUUAUGGUAAAUAAUCAUGUUUGCACUGAGAAUAAGUUUUCUUGCGGAUAAUUCCUUGUUUAUAAAUAGUGGUGGAGAGGAAGCAUAUGCGCGCGCGCGCAUGCAUGAAAGCUUAUUCACUUAUUUAAUUUUUAAAGAUUAUUUAAAUUAUGAUGUUAUACAAACACGCAUAGCCUAAAGGUUAAGUAUCGAAAAUUAAUAUAUAAAAACAAAUCAUGUUUAAUUAAUAAAAUAUUAUUAGAAUCUUGUUUUAAUUAAAAAUUAUAUUUUCUCGAUGUGAAUUAAAAUUGAUAAAACUUAUAAUACUUUAAGAUAAUAAUAAAAAUGAAGAUAAAUUUAAUGUAAAUUAAGGUGAAUAAACCUUUCUAAAUCGUUGGACUAAUCUAAAUAUGAUUUUAGCAUUUUAAAAACAUUAUUUAUGCACCACUUAGUAACUAAUCAAAUUCAAAUAAUUAAUUCAUGAUAUUAAAAAAAUAUUAUGAAAGUUAUUCAAAUCUUCUGAUUGAGGCAGCACGCCACACCACCUAAUUUGUUUUUCGAGUAUUUGAAUAUCAAUACAUGAUAAUUGUCUCCAUCCUUCGCCAGAUCUGAUUUUUCCAACCCGUUGCUGCUGUCCCCAAAAGUCCUCAUCAUCCGCAACGUCUUCUUCCCCAUCACCAUAGGUGUCCACGUCAUCGACCAUAUCAACCAAGCCUUCCAUGGUGAUACCCAUUCAUUAUUGUGGUGGUGCUUUAGCUUUAUUAUUUUUUCUCUGCUUGACAAUGCAAUUUUGAUCGAUUCGUGUACGAGAAAGAGGAGAGUCACUCUUUCAAGCAAGGAUGCUAUGACCUCAGACUUGAGAUCGAUUGAAAGAUAUAGUUUUGAAUGAAUCAAAUGUCAUCCAUCCCGCGUUUUGGGGCUGUCAUAAUGUGACAGUUUCGACUUCCAUCGGUCGACCUUUGUGCCUAGCGGCUUAGCCUACCUAAUGAAGCGCUUAGCUUCUGCUAGCGGCAGGCUAAAGGCUCUAUGACGGGCUUCCUUAUUUCAUGGGCUCUGCUCACUCGUCUACGAAAACAAAAUGCAUUAAGAUUUAAAACUUAAACUUGUCGUCAAAAAAAAUGGAAAUAGUGAAUCAAGAUUAGGCUCGACGAAAGAAUUGUCCUUGACAUAAUAUGGAAAACAAAAGAUGCUGAAUUACAUGAACAAAGACGCUAUUCUUUGAUAAUAGCAAUGUACAAAGGAGAAAUUAGUCAGCAAUAAAUAUCUUAUCAAAUUAACAUAAAAGGUAAAAGGUUUUGUAUGCUGAUACCCAUUCAUUAUUGUUUGUAGUUUUCAUAAACUAAUUAAGAUUGGAGCACAAUAUACCUUAAACAAAUAUCUACGCAGUGGCGGAGCCACAUGGGUGCAAGAGAAGCUAAUUGAUUCUUUAUUUUAUUUUUUUCAAAAUAAUUUUCUUUGUUAGCUACUUGUGAGCUUCUUUUUUCUAUACUAAUUAGUUAUUAAAAAUAUUAAAGUUUAUAAUAAUUUAUAGAUUUAUUGAAUUAAUAUAUGUAUAAGUAAUAUUAUAUGCUAAUGAAUAUGAAUUAAAAUAAGUUUUGAUGAAAUGAUAAGUAUUUUGCUAUAAAUUUUAUGUGAAAAUAAAGGUGAUGAAUUUACUAGUGAUUAAAAGUGAAGUACAAGACAACUAAAAAAAUUAGAAAAAUAAUAGAUAAAUUAAAAAGAAAACAUUUAAUAUUUAUUUUUAAUACACUUGUACAAAACAAGUCAACAAGAACAACAUCAAUUUAUGACAAUCCUUUUAAGCUAUGAUUUUAGAUGCUAUGUAUCAUAUAUCUGCAUAGAAUUAUUACCACGAACCAUCGUAAUCCUUAAAAGAUUUAGAAAUAGAUAAAUAAAAGUUUAUUGUAUAUAUUGAGAAAGAUAUUUUUAAUGAGAUUAAAAAUAAAAUUAUUAUAAAGCAAUUUUAAAAUAUAAAAUCUCGAAGAGAACAAUUAUAAUGUAAGUUUUUUUAUUUUAAAAAUUUUAAAUUAAUUAGUACAUUUUUUUAUAUAACACAUAUCUAUAUAAUAUAUAAUAUUAAAUAUUUAUAAGUAAUUUAUCCCUCAUUUAAAAUAUUAUGGCUACACCACUAUGUCUGCGCUACUUUUAAUUGCUAUAAUUAAAGUAAAUCUCAGAAAAGCAAGCUGUGUCCUGUGAUUUUCUCUCAUAUUUUGUGUGAAGCAAACCAAGUAUAGCUGGGAGUGGUGAUUUCGUUGCAUGGUUGUGAUCUUUACACCUCUGGAAUCUGCUGUAUUUUCAGAAAGCUGCUGGAAUCUGCUGAAUUUUCUUCUGGUUGAUUGGUAGUGGUUGAUCCAUACAAAGUUAAACAAUUUUGUGGGCUUCUGUACAGCCUCAGUGACAACUGUGGUCCAAAGUGGAAGAAGUACGUGCUUAUUGUACUAUCAUAAGUGAAGCCUGGUGGUUAGUUGUGAGGCACAAAAAUAGUUUGUUUUUCUUCUUUUUAGAUUCUUUGUAUUCUGUCUUAUCUUUCAGCUCCACUUAAUUGAUGGGCUGCUUUAUAUAUAAUUCUCUCCAUUAUUAUAUAGAUAUAAAAAAAGUGUGAUGGAUAUUUUUCUAUGAAUUGUGAGAUAAAAGACAUAAAACACAAGCUCACAUUACUCGGGAGAGGAUACUAGAUACAAAAAUAGUGUUGGAUUAAUAAUGCAUAAUAACUCAUAAUUAUAUAUUAUAUAUUUGAAUAAUUACUACCCAUUAAUUAUGCAUGAAUGAAUUCAAAUCUCAGACAUUGAAUUGAAUUCAAAUAUGCAAAUUUUACACCGUUUUAAGAACUACGAGAUAAUCAAUUUAAAAAGAUGCUGCUUUGGAAUCAUUUUGCAAUUUACUUGAGCCAAAAUUGUUAGGCCUCCAUGCAUAAUAUUGCAAGUUACUUUUCUCGGGUAUUUUGAUAUUUGGACAGGGACAAUUUGGUAAUGUGAGGUAAUUGAUUCAGAGUUAAUAACUGUUUGAACGGUAAAACAAUAUCUUUAUAAAGAAUGUAUGUCGUCUCAAGGGAAGCGCAUUGCAAGCUAAAGUAGUAAUGGCUAAGCUCUUUCCUAAGCUUGUUUCCUCUCUUGCCGUUCUUCUUCUUCUUUGUCAAUUUGGCUAUGUAGCCUGUCAACCACCGGUAUAUAGUCCAAGCAGAAACGCCACGUUGCCUGCAGAUGAAGGUACACACGCACGAUAUACUUUUCCAUCUACAUAUAUAUCCUUUUCCUGCUAUAUACAAAAGAAGGAAGAAAAUUUGUUUUCAAGAAUAUAAACUCAAUUAACUGUUUAGACUAUAAACUCACUCAUGUUUGCAAGAAACUGAUCCAAGCUAACAAGAGAAAGAAGAGAGAGCAGUACUUGAGCUGGAAGGAAGGGUCUUAAUUAUCUUUGUGACCCAAACAACGAAAAGCCUUAUGCACAAGAUACUGCUAAUUCUCUCUUCCAUUUGCACUCUCUAGUGCUUCCACAGCCUGGCAGAGAGUUCCGUAGUGCUAGCCUACGUACUGCAUAUCUUAGAUAUUUCCUGCUUCUCCAUUUUUUCCUAUAACUAUCAAGCGAAGUGAUUGGUUAAGGAUGAAGUGAUUUUUACGAGGUUUUUAUAAACAAGGGAGGUGGUAAGGAAAUCUAGAUAGAUUUUCAACAUGGAAUUAUAUGGAGUCAAUUCACACAUCCAUAAAAUUAGCACUAGUUUUUUUCUUCUUUUAGUUCGGAUUUGAAGCUAGGUAGAAGUAGCUAGGCCUGUUUGAAUCUUGCUAAACAAAAUAUGUGUUUCUUUGUUUAAAACGUUUGGCAGCAACGGCUUUGGAUGACUUCAUGACCACGUUAGGGGGGGGUUUGCUACUAGGCUCGGAUUGUUCUGAUUUUCAAGGCAUCACAUGCGAUUGCAGUUAUGAGAACAGCACAGUUUGUCACGUCACCGGCCUGUAAGUUCCUCAUCAACUUCAUCCAAUUUUCUUUCAUUUUUGUAAGGCAAUGCAUCCUCUUUAAAACUCACUGGUUUCUAUGUUGACGCCAUUUUUGGGAGGUAGAGAUCUCUCAAACCGCAAAUUAGACGGACAAAUCAACGCUACAGCCUUGGCUAGUCUCGUUCACCUAGAAAGAAUGUGAGUAUCAUAUGACAUGUGAUGAUAAUAAUUCGAAUCAGUAUACUGAGCUCAACUAAUUGAUAACAAUCCUAUUACAUUAAUAACAGUGAUUUGUCCUACAAUCAACUUUAUGGUAGCAUCCCUGACGUCACCAUGGGGAACUUGAGUUUACUCACCUAUCUGUAAGUGUUCCAGUACCAUGGUCAUAUACUACUACUGCAGUUUAUUUUGUUGCCAAUGUUCGUUAAAUACGUUCUUACUAUUAUUUUCCAGUGCUAAAAGUGACUAAAUGGAUAAGUUAUCAAUUUCUAAAACAGACUAUGUAUUAUACUUUAUCUACUAUUGGGUAACCAUAUAUAUAUAUAUUACACACAUAUAUAUUGAUGAUGGUUGAAUUUUUUUAAAAAAAAAAAAUUAAAUUUAUAUUUUGUAAAUUGACAAGUAUUCACGAAUAUAGGAAAAUCAAUGUUAAUUUUAUGAAUAUAAUUAUCUCAAAUAAUUUUAUAGUCUUUUAAUGUUUAAUAUUUAAUAUUAAUAAAUGUAGAUAUGUUAAAUUAAAUAGGAGUAUGAGUUUUUUCUACUGUUUCAUUAAAGAGGAAAGAUAUUUACAAGUAUAAUUUAGAUGUGGGUUUGAAAUAGUAAAAAAUAAAAAUAAAAUAAGUGCCUUCUAAAAACAAGGGAGCUAGUAAAGAAAUCUGUAUUGAUUUUCAACAUUUCAUGAUUGCAAUCUUUUUUUCUUUUUCCAUUAAUUUAUUGUGGAUGUUUUCCCCCUUCCGAGUUUUAUUUUUUAAUUGCUUAACCAUGUUGAGGCUUGUUUGGGUGACUGCAUUAUUAUGAGCAAAGAGCUGCUUAGCUUUUUUAUUAUAUAUAAUAACUAAUUUCAGUUCUUAGUGUCUUCUUAAAAUUUAAAUUAAUGGUUCUUAUUUUAGGAUGUGAAUUUUUAUCUUUCGAGUAAUAAUGAACUUAUAUGGUAAUAAAUAUGCAUAGCGAUCUUUCCAAUAACUUCCUCAAUGGCUCCAUACCUCUAUCUUUGGAAAGUUUGUCAUCUCUCGAAAUUAUGUAAGUAUCAUCCAAUCACAAUCUUUUCAGUAUCAUAUAAUGUGAAUUAAAUUUUUUUUUGAUUACUGAUACAAGUUUUGUGCUCAUAUUCUUGUGGGUGUUUAUAGGUAUUUUAUUAAUUUUGGUUUUUUUUUCUGAAAAAUCCCAUGUCCAAUUUUUAUAGAUUAUUAUGUUUUUCCUAAUCAAGUAUUUAGAUUUCAUGCUUUAAUUAAGACUAAAUCUAUUAUUUCUAAUAUAGUUAAAAGCAAAUUAUCCAUAAUCAAGAAUUCAAGAUUUAAAAGAAAAAAUUGGCACUGACCAAAAAGUUCGACUUGGGUAUCGAAGAACAUCCAUUUUUAUAUGAAUUAUAGGAGAACAUCUUGGAUAUUUGGGGUUGAUUUUAUAUCUUUGCUGUUCUUUUAAAAAAUAAUAUAUAAUGGUAAGAAAAAAAGCAUACAAUUACUAACUUCUAUGAAAAUAUAGUCUCAAUAUAUAUAUUAUCUUUCGAGUAAUAAUGAACUUAUAUGGUAAUACAUAUGCAUAGCGAUCUUUCCGAUAACUUCCUCAGCGGCUCUAUACCUCUAUCUUUGAGAAGUUUGUCAUCUCUCGAAUACAUGUAAGUAUCAUUCAAUCACAAUCUCUUCUGUAUCAUGUAAUGUGAAUUAAAUUUUUUUUUUUAUUACCGAUACAAGUUUUGUGCUCUUAUUCUUGUGGGUGUUUAUAGGUAUUUUAUUAAUUUUGGCUUUUUUUUUAGAAAAAUCCCAUGUCUAAUUUUUAUAGAUUAUUAUGUUUUUCCUAAUCAAGUAUUUAGAUUUCAUGCUUUAAUUAAGACUAAAUCUAUUAUUUCUAAUAUAGUUAAAAGCAAACUAUCCAUAAUCAAGAAUUCUAAGAUUUAAAAGAAAAAAAUUGGCAUUGACCAAAAAGUUCGACUUGGGUAUCAAAGAACAUCCAUUUUUAUAUGAAUUAUAGGAGAACAUAUUGGAUAUUUGGGGUUGAUUUUAUAUCAUUGCUGUUCUUUUAAAAAAUAAUAUAUAAUGGUAAGAAAAAAAGCAUACAAUUACUUACUUCUAUGAAAAUAUAGUCUCAAUAUAUAUAUUAUCUUUCGAGUAAUAAUAAACUUAUAUGGUAUUACAUAUGCAUAGCGAUCUUUCCGAUAACUUCCUCAAUGGCUCCAUACCUCUAUCUUUGGGAAGUUUGUCAUCUCUCGAAUACAUGUAAGUAUCAUCCAAUCACAAUCUCUUCAGUAUCAUAUAAUGUGAAUUAAAUUCUUUUUUUUUUAUUACCGAUACAAGUCUUGUGCUCUUUUCUUGUGGGUGUUUAUAUGUAUUUUAUUAAUUUUGGCUUUUUUUUAGAAAAAUCCCAUGUCCAAUUUUUAUAGAUUAUUAUGUUUUUCCUAAUCAAGUAUUUAGAUUUCAUGCUUUAAUUAAGACUAAAUUUAUUAUUUCUAAUAUAGUUAAAAGCAAACUAUCCAUAAUCAAGAAUUUCUUAAAAACAAAUUGGCACUAACCAAAAAGUUCGACUUGGGCAUCGAAGAACAUCCAUUUUUAUAUGAAUUAUAGGAGAACAUCUUGGAUAUUUGGGGUUGAUUUUAUACCAUUGCUGUUCUUUUAAAAAAUAAUAUAUAAUGGUAAGAAAAAAAGCAUACAAUUAAUAUCUUCUGUGAAAAUAUAGUCUCAGUAUGCGUUGUCAGAAUACAUAUAUAUAUAUAUAUAUAUAUAUAUAUAUAUAUAUAUAUAUAGAAACUCCUAUAUAUGUAUAGAAACUCGCUCGCUCUUUCAUUCUCCUUGAAUUUCCUUUUAACUUAUUGAGUUUGGUUUGGUUAUUAUCUCUUAUUUAAUUAGGUACUUGGACUUCAAUGAACUCACUGGUCACCUUCCACCAGAACUUGGAAGAUUGGGAUCUCUUUGUUAUUUGUAAGUUUCAAAAAGAAGAAUAAUAAUGUCAACUUUUGAUUGUAAUAGGAGAAAUAAAACAGAAAAAAGGUGGAUAUACAACAACCCUUUUGAUUUGUUGUUGUAGAGGGUUGGGCUCCAACAAUUUGAAUGGACCACUGCCGGAAAAUUAUGCCAACUUUACGGAAAUGCAGUGGUUGUAAGUGCAACUCAUCAUGUUAUUUCAACCAACAAUCUGUUUAAUUAUUGUUCCAAGGAAAAGCAACUAACUAUGGCUUGGCUGCAGUAGCGUAGCUGGGAACCGUUUGACCGGUCAAGUACCAAGUUUCAUUGCGAAUUGGACUGAACUCUCUUACCUGUAAGAAAAUAUUUGAUUGAGAAACUGUCGAUGAUCGAAGAAUAUCAUUCAAUGAUUUGUGUUUUUGUGUACUGAUGACAGGUUCCUCUCCGGAAAUGAUUUUGAAGGAGAGCUGCCUCUUGAACUUCUUUUUAACAUGUCAUAUCUCGAAUACUUGUAAGUGCUCUAUAAUUUUAACCGGGUUGAAAUAAAUGCAUGUUUUUAUUCUGGAUGGUUUUUCUUCCAGGAUGGUUAGUGAUGUAAGAAGCUCGGCCGGUUUCCCUUUCCCAAAAUAUGCAAAUAUGAAGGAAAUAACUUUCCUGUGAGUUUUUCCUUCCUUUGCUUUUCUUUAAAGCUCACACUCGAAAAUCACAUAAAUAAUUAUCAAGGCUUUAAGUAAUAAAAAUAUAAAACUAGUUAUUAAACCCCAAAAUACAUACCAAAAUAUAUUCUUGAAAUUUCAUGUCAAAUACAUACGAUUUUAUCAUAGGCAAAUAAAAAAAUAUAUUUAAUUCUUUUUGUUUUUUAACAUUCAAAAAACAUAAAAGAAAAUACCCACAAACACACACUCCCAACCAAACAUUCUAAUUUACUCACCCACUCCCAGUUUCAAGUUUCCAAUGUAACAAAAAUUAAAAUUGCUUACAAUAAUUUAAAUACACAUUUCGAAAUCUACAAAUUACAAAAUAGACUCAGGAACAGUGCUGGAAACGGCUGAGAAAAACAAGGAAACAGGGGGGUGAUCUGGAAUGGCAUCUAUGGUCGAAUUACAGAGAGGCAGAGGUGGCUGAGUGAAGGAGAGAGAGCUGGGUCUCGGUUUAGCAGAGAAGGGGGCGGCUGAAAGAGCAGAGGGGUGGUACUAUCGGUGGAUCUGGAGGGCCUGGUUCGGGUCUGUGGAGGAUGGUCUGUGAAGGCCGGUGAUGGGGCUGUUGGGUCAGCUGUCAGAGAUCGGGAAAGGAAGAUGACGAAGUGCAGUGGGCGCCUUUGUGGUUGUGGUGGGGAGCUGGAAGGUUGAUGUUGUGGCCGGGGGAAGAAUGGGCUUGGGUUCCGUGAGAGGGAGGGGAGACCUGGUUCGGUCGGCGGUGGAGAAGGAGAGGGAGAAGUUGAAACAACCAGCGAGAGGGGAGAGUCAGGGUAAACGGCUCUGCCCUCUUUUGGUCUUGGCGAGCUGGCGGCUAGUUCAGGAGGGAAGGUUUGGUGAGGGAGAAGAAGAUGGGGACGGCUGUGGCUUAGACAUGGAGAGCGGCAGCUGGAGGAGGGGAGGGGAUUAGGAUUAUUUUUUUGUGGUUUCUUAAUUAUUAUUUUUUCAAAAUUGCCCCUAUUGUGUGUUGAGUGACUUAUUUAUAAAUAGAAUAUGGUUAGGUCUCAAUUGUUCCUCAAUUUCUUUUCUUUCUUUUUUUUAAUUUUUUAAUUUACAAUUUUUGAAAAAACCAAGUAACCAAGUAAUAUCACUUAAUAAAAAAAAUCAAUUAUUUAAAAAAUAACACGUUAAAAACCAAACCAAACACAUUCAAAAUUUUUUUAAAAAAUUUAAAUUAUUUUAAGACAAUAUUGAAAAUACUAAAAACAAUGUAAAUAUAUUAAAAAAAAAUUUAGUUUUUAUUGUUUUCUUGUUAUAUUUGCUUUUGUUUUAUUUUAAAAUAUUAGAUCAAAAAAUUAGAUAUCAACAAUAUAAAUUCAAAUUGAAUAAUUAAAACAAUAUACACUUAGAAUUAUAUUUGUCUGGGAGCGUUAUUGUUGUAGAAUUUGAAUUACGACCAAUCUUUUACAUAAAUAUAUUUGUAGGCCUAUUUUUCUUUAUAUGAUCUUGAGUUUUUUUUUUUUUAUGAGCUAUUACAUGCUGUGAAGACCAGUUGUAUCUGGGAUUCAGGUUUGAGAAUUCUUUAUAUAUAUAUAUAUAUAUAUAUAUAUAUAUAUAUAUAUAAUUACGACUACAGGCAUAACAGAAUCAUGAAGUCACAAUAUUUAUGUAUGUGAGUCUUAAAGAUAUGUAUGCAUUGGAUAAAUCCAAACACCAACUUCUUCAAUUAUUUGUGUAGGAUGAUAAGGAAUUGCUCAAUAAGUGGUGAAAUCCCCCGGUACAUCGGUGAUUGGUCAUCGUUAACAUACCUGUAAGUUUCAUUUCCUCUUUUGUAAAGGAUUUGUAGUUCUGUCAUGGCUAUUUUGUUUCAUCAGCUCUAUAAAUACUCAUUGUUUAGGGCCAUUAGGCCAUGCAUAGAAGUGUUGAUGAUUUUGAUUAUGUUUUUACAGAAUCAGCUAUGCAAUAAUUUACCAUAGCACAACUAUAUAUCAAAUAUGUAGGAUAACGUUUGCUUUCAUUUUAUUGAUCCUGCAGAGACUUGAGCUUUAACAAUUUAACAGGUGGAAUACCAGAUUCCAUGAAAAAGCUGAAUUUAAGUAAGAUGUAUGAAAAAGAGAUUCCUUGAACUCGAUGUCUUAUAAUAAGAUCGUUCUGCCACUCUGUUAAAAAGUACAUGGGAUGGUUUUCAUACUGGUUUGUUUUGUUUAGGUUUCUCACAGGAAAUAUGCUUAAUGGCACAGUACCUGCCUGGCUUCCUCAUACCAUUGUGCACAAGGCGUAUGUUAUGGCUUUGUCCUCUUUGCUCAGAUGGGUUGUUUUCCCUUUUGUAGAUUGCCUCAAUAAAAUCUUGAUAUGUAAACAAUAAUGUUGCAGGGACUUGUCAUAUAAUAAUUUUGAAAUUCCACCUGAUGGUCCGAAGAAAGGAGAAGGAAAGCUGAACAUGUAAUAACGGCUACUUCAUUUUCUUCUUCCUUUUUUUUCACUUUCAAGAAUAUUGUUGUCUAUGAAAUCCCAACUUCUAAUCAUUUUGUAUCAUGUGCACCAACUGCUUGCAUGUUGUUCCUACUCAAGCAGUCAACCAAACAGGUAUGAUAAUAUCCUCCAUAUGGUGUCAUUAAUUUAGAACAAAUGAUCAUGAGUUAUUUCUUACCAAUUUUGUUUGCUAUUUCUAGGACUUCUAUUCAUGAUUUGAAAAAUAAAUGUGCGGGGAAACAGAAGUGUAAGUUCUAUUGAGAAACUCAUAUUUACAUUCCUGAGUAGUUCAUUUAAAUUAUUUAUUGGUUUAACCUUAGGUUUGGAAUGACAUAUGCAAUGUUAGAAACUCUUCUGAAAAUUGUCUGUAGAAUUUAGCGCAGGACAGAUUUUCUGUACUGAUUAUCAUUUUUUGCAGACGGUUCCUUGUAUAUAAAUUGUGGAGGAGCAGACACAGUUUUUAAUGGGAAAGAGUUUGAAGCAGACAGUGCAACAUCAAAUUACUAUGAAGCCCCAAAAGAAAAUUGGGCUUAUUCUUGUUCUGGAGACUUUGGUUCGAAAACUUAUGAUUCCAGUUAUUACAUAAAAAACGUGGAAUGUGCAGUUUGUGAUUCUGCUGGGACACCGUUAUACAAUUCAAGUCGCCUCUGCCCUCUUUCUCUGACAUAUUACGGCUUCUGUUUAUUUAAAGGAAAUUACACUGUCAAGCUUUACUUUGCUGAAACUGUUUACCAAAAUGAUGAAGAUUACUCGAAUUUAGGGAAACGUGUUUUUGAUGUAUAUAUACAG
rnacentral:lncRNA from 1 species